CCUGAAACAGCUUUCCUGCCCCAGGAGGGUCCGGCUCCGUCAGGCUGAAGACGAGGACCUCGUUCAGGAAGACGGUGAGUCCUUAUCUUGAGCAGACUAGUUAGAAAGAAAAGCAGGAGGGUGACUGAGAUGAAAGUUUAGGUGGUCUUUACACGAGUAUGACACCGGUAAAAUAAACUAUCGAUCUGGUGAUAUUGACACACGGAGACGCGUAUUUGUCCAUGACUCUGCAUCUUUUUUGAAAACGGGUCUGCAGGUGGGUAUCUGGGUAUUCGCCUUCAUGCUGUAGUUGGUAUAAAUAGAAAAGUCCAGAAAAGACGGUGACCUGAUAGCACCCCUCCUCCUCCUCCCCGCCCCCCAAACCCACGUUGUCACACACACACAGCAACAACAACAAUGGCGGUAGCUGGGGUGAUUUUGCUCUUGUUCCAACAACUACAAUAUGGAUGGACAGGAAGGGAGUCGACCUUGUAUGCGCAAUCUCUGUUUUUGGGCCGGGCGUAUGUACUACAGGAUUUUGCGUUGUCAUGUAAAUGUACUAAGCCUAUGUACAACACGAUGUGUAAACAGCGAUACAUGUUUUGGUGCCGAAGCCAAGACAAUACGGGGUCGUCCUCGUGUGAGGACAGCCUUAGUUUGUUGGGAAACUUGGGAGACUUGGACCGGUAUAGACUUCGCAGAAUGACGGACGCGGAAGAACGGAUUAAUGGUGAAGUUUCAGGUCCUGAUGCAUGGACCUUAUGGGAGAAAAGAUCUACAGACUCAGGAGCCACAGGUUGCAGGAAUAGAGUGUACCUUCACUUCUUUUCAUGGACCCAUAUGGACCCCCUGUGGACACAUGUGGACCCAGGGUUAAAACAGGACAUCAACUCUUAGUAAUGAAGAGAAACUGAGUUCACAAAGGUCGGAGAAAAUUGUUCUGAUUUCAGGUCCAAGAUUGCUCUAACUAAACUGUGAUCCACCUGCUGUGAUUGAGGGGAAAGUACAGUGACUUACUAGUGUGUAUGUGUGCAGAGUACACAGUGGGUUUGCAGCAUUGGCGUCGAUAUUAGCCUUUAGUGAUGUGUGUGCGUGGAGAAGCAGUGUGUUGCACAAGCACUCUGAAUGCUGUCAAAAACGUUCUUCCUUUAUCAAAUUAUGAGUUUGCUGCUUUUACUGAACAAGAAAACCUCAUUUAGAAUAUCAGGACUUUGCAAAGUUUUGUCAAAAUUGGCUCAAUCAUCAUGUACUUAAGGGGAAAGAGUGGAUUGUAUAAUGUGAGAGGCUGGAAAGAUCAAAAUGAUGGUGCUGUGGCUUGAAUAAUAACUGAAAUCAGUUAUAUAGAUUAUGUAAACAGUCACUGAAUAAUUUCCUGUCAAUUAAGUCAUUGAUUAGCCGACUAAGCAUUUCAACUCUCCCCUCCGCCACUGCAUGCAUCAUCGUGACAAGCAGAGAGGCGCCGGGGCUGACAGAUCCUCCGUCAUUUUCUGUUAAAGUGGCGGCACGGCUUUAGAAAGAGGAACGGUGCGCCGCCGGGUUUAUGGAGGAGGAAAUUGUGACACAGAGGAGGUAAUGGCGAGACCAAGAAGUAACUGUUCGGAUUCUGACAGCUGAAAUCUGGAGAUGACAACAUGCUGGUUAUGAUUCACACUCCAAGUACAAGAAAGUGUUGCAAUCAAAGCAGUUUUUAAGUGGAGUGCUGCAUUUCUUUCUCGUCCGUGGGAAGGGAAAGUAAUCAUCCAAUCUGCAGAAUUUAUAAAUGAUGUAACAGUUAGAUUAUAAUGCAUGUAUUCAGCAAUCAAUGGUGCGCUGUAUAUUAUUCCCUGCAAUCAAUAGUGCUGGGAGUUGAAGAAACCACAGCAACAGGCUGAGAGCAUUGCUGUUUGAUUCUCUAAUUUUAUGCAGUUAACGUCUCCAAAUGUCAGUAAGUGUAAUGAAAUUGAAUGCGAGGAAAAAAAACCAACAAAAUAAAGAGACCAUCACAAGCAGAAAAAGCCUGGAGAUAUCCUCUAAGAGUCCAUCUUUUCUGGUUCAGUAGAGCCAGAAACAAAGCGGGCUGCGGGGGAUUGAGUCUGCAGAUCCAGUGGGUCGGGCUCAUAAAAACCUCAGUAAACAACAAUAAGCAUAAUCAAAAUGGAAGAGGCAGGAAGCCUUUAAUUUGUGCUUGUUACCAUUAGCUGUCAUCAUUAGCUAAUAGUGGCCUGUGGUUAAAAACACAGCACAUACAUUCGCUCAUUUGCACAACACUUUUUUGGUCAUUUGCAGGGUUUUAUUUCUGGCUUUUCUCCUCGAUUCUCUUUGUCAGUCAGUUUAAGUCGUGUUAUGCAAAACAUCUGAAGCAAAGCCAAAGAAAUUAGCUUGUCCUGGCCGGUAGCCAUAUUGACUCAGGGUGCUCCCAGUCCCAGUUGUUUUUGAUGCACUAUUACACUAAUAAAAAAAAAGUUGAGACACAUUUCAUCAAAGCUGAACUUCUAUCCGCGGCCGAUCGAUAUUCACAACCCUCCUUGAGGAAAUGAGCGAACGUCUGACGUUUUUAUGAGACGCGACGCGUGAGCCGUGUCUAUCAAAAGCCGCUCAAACGCUGGUGAAUCGAUAGAGAUAUUAACAUCACGCUCACACGCAGAUAUAGACAAAAUCAAUGGUGAUAAUCCUAAGUAAUAGCCCUCCAAGCCGUUCUUACAUUUAUUCUAACGGAUAUUUCGUCCCCGCGAGGUUUCUUUGACAUAUUAAUUGCUCGCCUAAGUGCUCCAUAUUCCCAGCUCUUUGAUUAAUCUUCUUUGUCUUGUCUGUCGGUCAUUAUUGAUCCUUUAAACACACACUUAAUCUUUGCUUUUUUUAUACCCCAGAUUUAAUUACAUCUGCUGAUUCUGUACUUUCACCCCCUCCUCCUCCUCGGCAGCCACCUGUCACUUGUCCUCGUGUUCUAGUCCGAAGAGUUUUCAGGAGCAAUCACCGCGCUACCUACACGCGUGUACAUGCCCGCUCUAAAUUACCCUCUUUCAGCAACAUGACGCCCCAUAAUGCAUCAGUCUAUGACCGCUGGUUUUCUCACUGUCAUUCAAGAUGUUGGCGAUGUGAGGGUGAGGAAUCGAUACCCCUGCCUGGUGUUCAUGUAGGCGUUAGCAAUUAGCAGUUACAGCUUCAGACCGGUAGCAGAUGGAUCAAGCUGCAGUGGGGGGGGAGGUUUCCUAUUAGCGGCUAAUUUGAUAAAUAACCGUGUUUUAUGUGCCCGUCGCACCUUGCACUUUGGCACUUUUAAUUGACAGGAAUGGUUGAUCUCGCAGAAGUUUUGCCCUCAGUAAAGGAGACAUCUGCUGAUUUUUUUUCUUGUGUAUUUUUCUGAUUCUUUUUUUUCCUAAUCAUGAAACAAACAACAAAUUGAUUCGACUAUAAAGCAUUUUAUCCGUGGACCAAGUUUAGCCCGGCUCAUUUCUCCGCGCCGUAGACCACCGUCGGUGUCAGAAAAUAUUAUAAACAUUUUAAUGAGCCACACUGUUGCACAGCAGUGACAUGUUCCUUCAUCUUAAUGAACAUGGGCACCAGUUUAUUUUGAGUCAAUAACAAGGGUCUUUUGCUGUUGCUAAGGGUUACGCAGAGGGAUCGAACAGCUGCUCAACUUAAAACAAAGAGAAAUUGUCAUUGAUCCCAGUAACAUACAGGGUAUCUUUAUAUUGAGUGGGCUGGAAGAGUUCAAGGUGGAAUUGUAUUAAUAGAAAGUGAAUGAACAGAAGUCCACAGUGUGAAAAAUACAGAUUCAGGAAACUUUCAAAUACUUGACAUGAAGACAUCAACUGAUGGGACUUACAAACAUCCAAUUACCUGAGGGUAAGAACUUGACUCCUCUUUUCGUUCCAAACUAAGGCUUAAACCAUAGACUGUAUAUAGAAUGGACAGAGUCUCAUCCUCGCAGGCUGAAGCCCCCGUAAGAACAGCACCCUCUGGUGACAGGCUGCAGUAUAGGUCAUAAAUCCCGCCUCUGCCAGCAAAGCUUAUGGAGCUGUGGACAAACUUUAGAAAAUUAUUACACAGAAUAUAAACUUUUCUCCCAUCUGCUUAUUGGCUUGUAGUUAUUGAAAGACUGGUUUGUGCUCAAGUCCUCUUUUUUCUGUAUGACUCCGUUUUUUAAAGUUGUAAGGGGGUUCAUGUUUUCUAUGAUUGACAUUUGAUAUUGUGGCUGCACUUUAAUUUUCUUAGAAUAAUUAUUCCCAGAUUUAUUCAGUUAAAUUGCAUUUGCUGUUUUUUUUAUAUACUUCUAUUUAAAAAUAAAUGUCUUGAAUUUGCUGUAUUAGGGAUUCAACAUGAGCCAGACCUUACCACAAUGAUAAUCUUAUCACAGUCAUGCAGGCCUGGUAUGAUAUAUUUUAAAUGGCACAUUGGUGUCAGAUCGGUACUCGGUAUCACCUGAUACCCACAGCACAACUAUAGGAAUUAGUAUUGGGAGGGAAAAAUUGGUAUCGUAAAAUCUCUACCACUAACGCUGGGGCUUGUUGUUGUGACACCAGAUGUUUUAAAAUGCUCCCAUAUCAGGAGCCAUUAACAAACAAACAACCAAAACACCACUCUAUAGCCACAGAUAAUGCUCAGAACAGCACCUAACUUCAUCAACAGUACAUAUAGGGUCCUAGCCACAGCACUAGCCACCAAAAUUUUUUUUAACUUUGCCUAAUUUCUUUAGCAAAGAGACUAAACACAACUCACCUACUCUCUUCCAGCAGCCGCUUGUUUGUAGCAAGACCUCAGGCCAGUCCAUUACGGACUACAGCGGGGUGCCGCAGCUCAAGGAAGAACAUCUAUGAUAAUUUCUCUAUCAUUUCCUUUAAGUAAUAAUCAUCAUAUUAAUCAUGUAAAUCCAGCUCGUACUGGUCUCUGUCUGCAAAAAAGCCUUUCUGCUUCCUUGUGCACGUGUUUCCUGCCUCUCUUUAGCUGUCCUAACUAAUAAAGACAAAAACACCCAAAAUAUAAGUUGAAAAAACACAAACACUGCUGCCUGAUGUGAGGUUCAGGUCAAGUCUUGUUAAGUGAUCAUAACGGACUGUACAGAGAAGCUGCAAACACAUCCAGGUGUUAUUCCGACACCCUGUUCAGCACGGAGAUCCAACAUCCGAACAUCAAAUGUGUGAUCUAAAAUACAGCUCAGCGAUCGCCGCUCUCCUUAAAGGAACCACACUUCUAACAAACUCUUUUUUCUGAAAGGCACUAUUGCUCCGAAAAAAUUUACACAUUCAAGGUUUUUCUUCAAAUAACCCUGUCCUCCAGUUUCAAAAUCAAGUCCUUUCAUCCUAAGAGGCUUUCGGUCAUUCAUGUUGGCAAUAAUAAGCAACGAGGUGAAGCUUCUGCAGGAUCAGCAAGUAAUUUAAAUGACAUGAAACCUCAUCCUUGGCUUUGAUGACUAACAUCAUGCUGUUUAUCCACGGCGAAAUGACUGCGCACUUUUUCUCUUUAAUUCCACUAAACUCCACGUCUUCUAAGAUCGUAAACCAGGACAUCAAGGAGGCAGUCAUCCAUUCGGCUCUUGUUUGGGUUUGCCCAUGAGGCCGUCGGCGAGACCGCGUCACCUUGUGUCACUCUGUGUCACUCUGUGUGUCUGUAAACAGUCACCCCCGCCCCCUGUCUCUCCAGUCAAACACAGCACACAUGGGGGUGUUAUUACGCAUGGGGAGUGACCACCGCUCGGCGGCAGGGCGACCCCAAAGGCAAAGCGUCUUUGCAUUUGAAUAAUCUAUUGCACCAACUCACGCAUUUGCAUAUUCGGGCACUUGGAAGUCACCAGGGCACUAUGAUUCACUCCCCUCUGCCAGCCUGUGUCGCCGCUUGUAUGAAACAGGAAGGAUAUUAAGCUUGUUUGGAUGCAACUUCCCCUCAUGAAUCUUUAAGGCUGCUGUGUAAUAAGAAAAAUAAACCCAAAAAGCAGAUGCCAUCAGACUGCAAAAUUACUUUCCUGUUUCAUUCGGAGACGUCAGCGACCGCGGGGGAGCGUUGUCCGUGAGGAGAUGCCUGACAGCCCUCUAAAUUGUGAAGAAGACUGACACGAGUGUGAAUUUAACAAUUGCCAGUUAGAGUGUAAAGAGAGGUUGUGCAGUGUGCAGUGAAGCAGCCCCUCCAUGCUCUCUGCCUCUUACCCACCUCUCAUGGAUCCUGUAAUGGAUACAGCCUCUGAAGGAUUUAAGGAGAGCCCGGCUGCUCACCUGUUAAAAUAGAGCUUGUAUGUGGAGUCUAUCCACUGGAAAACUUCGACUUCCCAGCUGGAAGCAAAUGAUCCGGUUUGGCAGUGCGUAUAUUUGCAGUUCUUCAGUGUUGUAAACAUUCGCGGCACACAAUAGAAAUUAAAUCUGACCUUUGUGAUGUUUUGACAGCUCUCUGCUGUGCAUUGGACGCCUUUUUUUAUUUAUUUAUUUAUUUUUUAAAUGACUGUGGCGUGUUUGAGCGCUGAUAUCCACCAGUGCGACGCUCUGAAUCAAAAGAAAAACACAAACAGGGAACACUGUGUAAGUCUGCACUCACCAGCGAGUUUAUUGUGAGGAUUGUCUAGCAAGAAGAAGAGAGGAGCACAGAGGAGCUACAGGAAUGAAAGAUGUUAGUCUGCCAGUUUGUCACAAAAGCAGUGUGCUCCUGUGUGAUAGACUGGCAGACCGUGCUAGCUCAGUAUCCUUGGGGACACACAGGCUACUGUUAUAGAGUCACAUUUUUUUUUUUUUGAGGAGCUUCUCUCAUUUUCUGAGGCAGAGAGGCAGAGGAGGAGGAGGAGGAGGAGGGAGAGGGAAGUUACUGGUUUUGCCUCUUGAACGCUCGCCGGAAAGUUCUUGUUAGUCUGUUUGUGUCUGUGAAGGUUUAUGGCCUGUGUCGAGCAGAAAGUCCACAAUCAACUAUUGUGACACGGAGGAUAAAAAGAAAAAAAGUUUCCCCGGAUAGAUCCCCUUAGCGGUGUUUGGGUGUGUUCGAAGAAACGACUUCGAGGAGAGUAAUCUACGCUUCAUGUAGUGCAUUGUAAAAUCAAUUCCAGUCUGUUUAAGUUUAUUUUAAUAGUUCAAACAUAUCUUUGAGAACCGGCGAGUAAUAAAAUACGGACUACUUUUUAAGAAACUGGUGUCUGAAAAUAAACAAAUCUAAGGAAAUGUACCAAUCGAUAGAAAGUGAAGAAACUACCUUUCUGCUUCCUUGUGAACAUGCAGUUUAAUCCAGCAGAUGUAAACAAACUGGGAGCUCACCAUCUUGGCAUGCAGACGAUACAAAAUAAUUUCCAUGUGCGAGUUUGUCAGCAUUAUAAAAACUCUGCUUCAGCUUUGCCUAAAGUUCAGGAGGAUAGUGUUUGAAGAGCCCCGCUUGGGAAAUCGAGGCCAACAUGCAGAAGAAAACUUGUGUUUUCACAAACUUCUGCUUAUGUGUGGAUGAGCCCCGAGCCUACAGCAGCAAAACCAAGAGCGGAUCCAAGUCUGGAGACUGGUUUUACUUCUGCGUUGAUUCAGCGCUGUAGGAGCCUCAGCUGCUGAGAGAGCGUGGUCUGAUUCUCUCCCUAAAUGCUGGAGUUCAUUGUGAUUUCUAUCAGUUUUCUGGUUCCGCUAUAUUCUCAGGACCCCAUGGCAACUGAAUCUGGUCAUACAAACUUGGAGCCUCCAUUCCUGGUCAGAUGAGGUGGUUCAGGAAUUGCCUCAUGGACACCUCUUUUUGGAGGGGUUCCAGACAUGUCUAACUGGAGGGAGACACUAGGGUAGGCUCAGGGUUCGCUGGAAGGAAUGCGCAUCCCACCUGGCCUGGGAACGCUGUGGAAUCCCAGAAGAGGAAAGUGGAGAAAGUUUAGGGUGACCAUAUUCUGACUUCCCAAAAAGAGGACAAGACUACACUGGGACGGAGUCAUGGAGUCAAACGAAGUUAAUUUUAAUAGUUUUUCGGGUCGCAUCAAGUGUCUUUUAUGAGCUUCUGACUCCGUAUUUCCAUUGCAUCCAGAACGGCUACAAAAAGGCUGUAAACCGCUGAUCUUAACCACUCAAGUUAAUGUGUCAAUUUCCACCGGCUUCUUUCCGUUACUUUGCGGAUUGCCGGACUCCACAGCUGAUCGCAAAAGUUCAAUUUUUUCUGGACGCCGGAGCAUGCUGCAAAAAUUCCGGAUUUCACACCAUGCAAACUGGCGGAGACGAACAAGUGAAAGGUUUCUAGACAGCAUUUCAGCCUGAUGACACCAUGGAUGAGGAGAUGCUGAUUCCAGAAGUCCAAAAAAAGAGGACAUGUCCGGGUAAAAGAGGACGUAUGGCCACCCUAAGAAAGUGUUGCCAAAUGGAAGGGAGAUUGGGACGACUUGCUGAGACCGCUACCCCUGGACCUGACUCUGGAAGUGAAGGCAGAUGGAUGGAUGGAUGGACUUGGGUUCAUGGCUUCUUUUGUUGUAUUCUUAAAAUACUGGUGAUAACAAAGAUGUUGUAAACACAGGAAAUAAUAUCUCACCAGGUGGACCAAUCAUUUAGUUUAUAGUUUCACACUUUUAAGGAGGUGCACACCAGAGUACACAGACUUCCUCAUAGAAACAGGGCUGUUGGAAGCACAGUAAGGAUGUCUGCCACCCAGACCCUAAGGGCUCUAAAUUCUCUUCUGGAUUUUUAUGGGGAGCCAGCAUGGAGAAGUUAAUAUAUGAAAGAUGUACUCCCUUUUUCUUGCACUCGAGCUGCAGCAUUUUGGCCCAGCCAAGGCGCCAUUAGAGAUUUAUUUAGGGCAGCCUGAUAAAAAGGAAUUACAAUAAUCCAGCCUAGAGGUAACAAAUGUGUUGACUCAUUCUCUGCUUCAUUUUCAGACAGAAUGGGUCUGAUUUCUGCGAUACUGCGAAUGUGAAAAAAGAGAUUGUCUUCAAAAGUUGUUGUAUGUGGGAGUUGAAGGACAUAUCCUGAUCAAAUAGAACUCCCGAUUUCCCAAAAGUGGUGCUGGAUGCCAGAAUGAUGCAAUACGAGGCAGUCAUAUCCUUAGAAAAUGUCUCUCUGAGGUGUUAGGAGCUGGAAACAAUAUCCUCAGUCUUUUCUGGGCAGCAGAAUAUCUCUGGUCAUUCAGAUCUUUAUGCCCCCCGAAGCAUCCUUUGAGUUAAGCUGGCUGAUUGGUUUCAUUUGCCUCCAUAAGAAAAGUAUAGUCAUAAAGAUGUUAAUUACACAUUGAGCAUAAUUAGUAAAGUGAGGAGGAUCCAUCCUGGCCGAAGGGGGCACUUAAGUCAAAAUCAACUCUUACAGUAACUUUGAAAAACAACAAAAUUCAUUCAACACAAACAAAUAUAUAUCAUUCUGUAUCACCAGUAUUUCACAUAUUUUGGACCCUGCCUGCCCGGUUGUAGUCUCCUUUUGCCUUCAGGGCAGCCGUGAGAGGUUGAAGGUUGUCGAAUCUGCACAGCUCACAGUCGGUGUUCCAGUGCAUCCCAAACAUAUUUGACAGGGUCGAGGUCAAGGCUCUGAGCAGGCCGGUCAAGGUCUUCCACAACAAAUUGGGAACAGACUCGGUAUGAGCUGAGGUUGUUGAAAGAGACUCCCAAAAAUGGUUGCAAUAAAGUUGGAAGAAAACUAAUAUAUUACUUUUUACUGUACUGCAAGUGUUCUGUGUUAUCAUAAGUGAAGUUUUUUCAUGUUUACUCUGAAUGUCAAUUAAACAAACUCGAGAAAUGGAGCCGAGGCAAACCUUAACCCUUCGAACUCCCAGCUAUAUUUUGCUAUUUUUGGUCCGCCUGUUUUUUUUUUUUUUUUUGUAAAAAUCAAUGUAGCAACUCGAUCAUUUCAAGCACAGCAAGUAUAUACACAUCUUUUUUUUCAGGACAACCUCAGCCGUCAGUUUAUUGGUGCAAAAAUUAUGUAAAAUGAAUGUGACAGUAGAUUGAGAUCCAUCAAAGUCAACCAAAAAGCAAAAACGGAUAUUGAUACCAACAGUACUUUGCUCAAAAAUCACAUAAAUCUACAGUGACCAAGCCUUUUCUCAUCUGCACAUCAUUCUCUCAAGUCUUGGCUAUCAGGAGAAGAAAUAUUGGAAUUGGAACAAACACACAAAAGAAACUUUUUACACAUUUACACAAAUCCUUCCAGGCGUUUUUUGCUAUUUACUGUUGUUUAUGCCACUCCUUGAAGCACUUUCUGUCUGGGACGAGAUAGAGAGCCACAUCAUACUGCACAUAAUCUCGUCUUUGCUUGUUUCUAAGCAUUGAGGACCAUUUUUUCUUUUUUUGCAGACAAGAAGGGAACUUUCUUGUCUCUUGUUGAUCUUUGGUUGCCUCUUAUUGGACACUACCGUCAAGGGAACAAUAGAAGAAGAAUAUGAGACCAUGUAACUGGUCGAAAGUUUGACAGAAAAGAGGGACAAUAUGAUAAAUAAUCAUGUUUUCACUGAUAUAUCACUGUGGAUUUACCAUCAAACGUCUCUGAUCAAACACUUAUUUUUGUGGCUGGAUUGUAAACCUUGUGGCAGGUGUAGAAAUGCCUGGAAACCCUUGAUAGAUCACCAAAAGGGGAAGUUUUUGAACACUUUUCAUCCCAUAGAGAUACACGGUAGAGUUCCAGAGAAACUGUAAACAAUAUUAAUAGUGUCACGUGGGAUCGCCGGCGAUCCAGUGGCGUUCUAAGUGUUAAACUUCUGAUGCCUUCCUCAUGGGUUGAUUCACUUACACCAACUACGACAGUGACAGAAUCACCUUUUUACUGCCUUCCCUCUUAUUCUUUUAAAACUACCUUGCGCUUCACUUUCCCAUGCCUGGGCACAGUGUGCAGCACUCACGCUGGUCCAACAAACCAGACUUUGGGGUUGAAACAUGCAUGAGUACAGUACAGCCCAGCCUUCUUUGCAGUAACCUCUGCAAGAUCGACAAACAUUGACAACUCUUGUGGGGCGCUCACACCAAGCGCAAGUAAAAUCAUCUACCUGCUUAAUUUGCGCAAAUCUAGACGCGUGAAUGAAAAGUAUUUACUCACUUCAUUCGCAUGUCAACAGUAAUUUCAACGGUAAUCCCUGCCAAUUCAACUGGUGGGAUCAAGUGAUAGACAAAGGUGUUUUACAAUUUAUUAGGUAAUACGACCUCCUCACUCACUUGCCUCUAGGCCGCUCCUUUUUUAUUCCAGUUUCGGUAGUUGAAAGAAAAGGUAUCAUAUAAUUCGGGGCACCCGCAUGAUCACAUUGUCCUCCAUUUCAGAUUCUGGUCAACAACUGUCCGUUUUCAUACCCCACCUGGCAACCUUGGAGCUGAUUAGUUAUCGUGAUGCUAAUAUCCGCUCAAGUUGAGACGUUUUCAGCUUCCACCCAAUUCCAACAUUCGCGCCACAAGAGUAGUAGGAGCGUCUAAUUGCGUCUUUGCAUUGAGUUAACAUGUAAUUAAUUCGCGCAAAUGAUUUCACUCGUGCUCGGUGUGUGAAGACAGUUAUACAACUCUUACCAAGAAAAGUUAAAGAUCUCGUGUCUUGGCGUUUUUUCUUUCUCCUUGUUUACUCCGAGUUUGAUCCUUCCUGUCAUCUUUGACGAAAUGACACGUGUUUCAUUUACAGAUUCCUCUCUCUGUACUUUUUUCUUGACAGUUGUUGAUGUGCACUGACUUCUCCCCCCCUGUCAGGCAAAAAAUAGACUCAGCGAGAAGAAAAUAAUUAAAUUAAAGUGCGAAACUUGUUGCCACACAGCUCGGUGGUUUCAGUUUCCUUCACUAAAACAUGAUGGGUAUGGUGUAAGUGUCCAGGUUAGAGGUCAACUGCAGAGCCAACAGGAGCGAGCUGGUGUCCUGCUGAACAGCUAAUUUCGCUCGGUGCCCUGUUGCUGUUGCCUGGAUACAGUGUGAUUCUAAUUAACAGUUUGGUGAUUCACAUGCUCUCCUGUUAACCUCGGUUUCCCACACUCGCAACGCUAUUACAGUUUAUGAGUCUCAUCGGGUGCUGUGAUGGACACUGAACUAAAGAUAAAAUUCAAUUUCUGAAAUCGUGGACCAAAUUGCCAAAACGGAACAUGUGUUGUCUUGUGAAUUGGAGCUCAGUUUGUGGGUGGUUCUGCCUUAAAGGGUCACAGACAACCAACCUCACUGUUGCACUUACUUGCUUGUUGUUUCUCAUAUUAGAACACCACAUAAUUGUAUAAAAUCACCAUGAAGCAUUAUUUCACCACCUUUUUUUUUUUUUUGCAAACAAUAAAACUCCAUUUUAUUUUUCCUGAAAGCUUGUAUGGUGCCCCUGGGACUUGAGCUCUUUCAGCGAUUAGAGUAGCUGAACUCUCGCAGAGUCUGCUCUUUGAAUUAAGUCCCCCUCCUUUUUCAAGCAGGCCUCUCACUAGGCCGAUCUCGCAGGCUAAUUGGCCUCAGGGUUGACGUGCAGUGUUUACCGGGGGUCCUCUGGGAUCCCGAUGAACCAGCAGAGGGGAAGGGGCGCUGAUGCUCCCCUACUAUCAGCUCCGACUCAAGGCAUGGACCGCUACUCCUUCUAACUGUCCCCUGCAGCGGCCGGUCAGGACCCAGACUGUGGCUUCCAGUAAAACUAGGAAAUCUUCAGAGUUCAUGUUAGGCGAUUUAAACAAGGCAGCAGCAGGAAAUAAGAAAACAAAAACUCUGUGAAGGUUGUACUUUUCUUUGAUUGAGGUGUUCAAAGAUGUUUCCAAAGUAUAGACAAAGAGGACAAAACCUACAGCUGGCGCCAAGGCUUGAGAGAAAACUGCUUUUUCUCUGCAAGCAAGAAGUAAAAAAGCGAGUACAUUCAUUUUGUGUGAUUUUUUUACGCACAAAAGCAAGACUUUUGCAUUUUGAGUAAAAAUCAUUUGACAGGAGAUACCAAAGAAAAGGCGGCCCUUGAUGCAAUCAAUAUGACAUCUAGAUUUGCACCUGUGCACCUGCCUGAGUCAUGCAAAAGUCCACAGAUACCGACGUUUUCUUCUACCAAGGCUGUUGUUUUUCUACCCCUGUUCUCUCUAUAACUCCUACAGGUUACUUGCUUUUGGAUUUGACCUGGUUGAUAGGGACCUGUUGACUUUGUGGUCAUCUCUGUGUUUGAAGAAAGGAACAAAGCUUCAGUUCCUUAAAGGGAUAAUUAGAACUACCACGUCUGCAGUGCAAAAUAAUUAAUAUGGUGAUUAUUACUUCAAGAAAAUGAUAAAGAAAUGAUCAUAAAUGUUCUUCCUAGAGCUGCGUCACCCCGCUGCAGUCGAUGGACUCGCUACAAACAAGCGGCUGCUGGAAGAGAGUGGGUGACUUGUGUUUAGCCUCUUCGCUAAAUAAAUUAGGCAAAGCUACAAAGAUGUUUGGUGGCUAGUACGAUGGCUGGGACCCUAUAUGUACUGUUGAUGAAGUUAGGUGCUGUUCUGAGCAUUAUUUGUGGCUACAGAGUGGCGUUUUGGUUGAGGUUUGUUUAUGGCUCGUCAGACUGCUGUGUUUUGCUAUGGUGCGGCCGUUACUAAAGUUGGUAUAACUAGAGAAGCAAGCGGUGGGCAACAUUCAUCUCUCGGUGUUAUGGUGUGUUUUAACUGCGAAGUGAUGCAUGUUUCUACCUCUCUAAUAAUAUACACACACUACUAAGAUGCCAUCUUUUAUAAUACAUCCUGUUGGAGUUUAUCAGUUAUAUAUACAUUUGCAUAAUUAGUAUCAUGACUGGUUUGACUGACAGGUGGGUGUGCCAUAUUUGAUUCCCAGAAGAGCUUCCACAGGUUGACUGAAAUAGAAUUUCCACAAUGGCGCCCACCAACAUCAAGGUUAAAUCUUGUAUCCAGAAACCAACAGUUGAUGUCACAGGGACUAUGUUCAUAUUUUAUACAGCAUAUGGCUCAUACAUGUCUACGUGCAUGGCUUUGAGGUGAGCCCUCAGGUCCUGCUUUGAUAGUUUUAUAAAUAUGUGAUGCCAGUGCUUAGCUAUGUUAACAGUUUCACCUUGAAUUCAAGCUUGAAUUCAAACACUGCAAAAACUCGAAUUUUAGCUUCUACACUACAAAAAAUUCAAAGCUUGGCAAGUGGAUUUGUCAGGUUUCUAGUGAAAAUGUCUAACUUUGGCUAAUUGAACCCACUGCCAAGUCCAAAAAAUGUUUUAUUUUAAGGUACUAUGCACCAAAAAUAAAGCAGUACCAAGUAUCAGACAGAUAGAGGUGGAGGUGGAGAAUGAGCAUGAUGAAAGAUCCAGAGGCUACAGUACUUUAUAUAGGGUGGACAUGUCCUCUUUUUUGGGGGUUGUCCAGACUGUCUGGGUUUGUCUGGGAAGUUUGAAAAAUCCUUCAAAUAUCUGCGGUUUCUGCGGUCAAUAUCAAUCAAAAUAAUCGUGAUUAUGAUUUUUGCCAUAAUCAAGCAGCCCUACAGCUAAGCCCCGCCCCCAAAACACAGCAUACUUUUUAAGAAGAAAACUGUAUGAAGUGACAAAAAGGAAGUACUCGAGCAUAGACUGUAUAUAGAAUGGACGCCGUCUGCCUCCUCGCUGGAUAUAGCCAUCGAGAGAACAGCACCCUCUGGUGACGGGCUGCAGUAUAGGUCAUAAAUCCCGCCUCCUCCAGCAAUCCCUAUGGGGCUGUGGACAAACUUCAGAAAUUUAUUACACAGGAAAUAUUUUUUUCUCCCCCCUGGUUGUGAUGUUGACAUGUAGUUACUGUAAGACUGGUUUGUGCUCAAGUCCUCUUUUUUUCUGUAAAGCUCCGUUUUUAAAAGUUCUUAGGGGGUUCAUGUUUUCUUUGAUGGACACUUGAUACAGCCUGUGGGCGUAUGAAGAUUGCGUAGAUCACCUGGGGGAUACGCUGUUUGAGCCAAGCGUCAUUGCAGCGACUCUCCCGCCAAAUGCUACUGCGCAAAGUUGGUUUCAGAAAAUGGAGAAAAAAACUUUUCGUCUCCAAAUCCGUAUACUAGCAUCAGGCAGAACCAAGUUGUCCAUAGUACAUACAGUCUAUGUGCUUUAGUCCUGAAAAUAAAUCUGACUCACACUCUUACCCAUCACCAUAACAACCACAAACAUUUUUCAAACUUCUGUACAGAGACGAGUUUCUCCCCAAAGUCCGAGCUCAGAAAAUCUAAUUUUAGGACUUUGUGCUCUUUUCCUCAAAAUUGGCCAAACCCCAAUUAAAUCUAAUGUAUUCUGAUCUCUGUUUUCUGUUUAUUUCUCAGCGUCUUCAAAAACAAGACAAUCUUCAUCUGUUGUAUUACGCUCUUUCCUUGUUUCCAACCGUCUUCGAGUGCAGCUACAUUGUUAGCGUCGGUGAAUGGCACACACUGAUGGGGAGUUCUUGCUUCUGAUAAUGCAUUAGAACCACAUUGUCAGUGAAUUAAGCAGGCAUUCUUGUUUUCAAACGGGCAUUUCUUUCAAUUAUCUUGAUAGAGCGGAGAAGCUGUACGGCUCUGCUUUCCUCCAAUCUUUUUUUUUUUUUCUUUCCCCCCCUGAUUGAAUGGGAAGCCAGAUGGGAAGCCCGGCAAAGAGAGGAGGAGAGAGAGGGAGUCGACGAAUGUUCUCAUAGUGUAUGGCAUUCACAGUGUCUGAGACAAAUCAAUUACAGAUAAAUGCCAUGUGCGGCGAAAGAAUGCGAAGGCUUUUUCACUGGUUUUGGAGUCAAUCGAAGAGGCACAGCUUGAGUGUCAUUGACCUUGAGAAGAGGAAAAAUAAGAACCACUGAGCAACUAUGGUUUUUAAAUCUAAACUUGCUGCCCCAAAAUCACUUCAGGGUCAUGUAGUAUAUGUGUGUCUCACUACAGGAGUCAAUUUUCUGCUCCAGAAAUGGCAAGUAUUUCUACAAAUUUCCUCCAGACCCAAACAGAACUCCACACACAAAAAAAACAAGUCUGCAAAGUAAUGAGAAAAUGUGCUUUUGUCUCCGGGGAUUUGCUGUAUUAUUCUGUAAAUCCUGGAUUAUUAUAUUUUACAGACAGCAAAAAACUCCACAUCCUUAACAGGAAUAGCGCUCUAAUUUCAAAUUAAAGGUAGGAGAGGGAGUUUCGGAUGAGUAACGGCCUAAACCCUGCAGACUCCGAACGCUGGAGUUUUAGCCUCUUUUCCUUGUUUGUGUGACAAGUGAGUCCACUUUCUUCUUGCUAAUACCCAAUUAGGGAGAUGAUUAUUGAUUGAGGUGUUGAAAGUUGACCGCUAAUCUCCCUUCUGUCAGGAUGAGGCGAUCAAUAGGUGAGUGUAAUGAGCAACCUGCUCUCUCAGUGCCUGUGAACAGAGUUGGAUUCAGACUGGAUACAUAUUUUGUUAGACAAUGAAAAGAGGGUUAUCUAAGUGCGGUCUCUGUUACUGGAUCCGACAUAUCAGGAAAACACUUUGUUAUUAUUCCAUCUGCAGUAGAAGUGCUUUUUUUUUUUGGUUAGUGGCGAUGCAAAUGCAGGUGAAGUUGUCCUUUUCCUGCCAAGAAACAACACCGUUUCUCAGCGCCAAUAGACUGGAAACACUUAAACUCGAUGGAUGGAGGGUAUCUGAAGCAUUUUCUGUUUUGGGGGAACUGAAUUAUAAGGAAGCACUUUAGAAAAAGAAAUCUUAUUAACCUUUAUUUAACAACACAAACAGGCUGGCUGUGCUACAGACAAAAACGGAUUCACACUUGAUGUCUACAAGGUACGAACCGAUGAAUGAUUUAGAGCGAAGGUAAACUAAUGUCACCCUAACCCCCAAUUUUCACUGCAUCCGCUGGACGCAGUGGAAAUUUGCCGUCCUCCAAUUCCUAGUGGAUCCAUUUGUGAGACGAAUUUCAUGGCAGAUAACGGACAGCAGAAAUCGCGAGAACUCACAAGAACCUGCAGAUUCAUAUGCAAUCACUCGAUAAUGAGUUGUCUCUUUAAAGACUGAUACAUAAUCAUAUAAGCAGUAGAUCAUGUCCUUCCAGAGAAGAAAAUCCACUCCUAGACUUCUAGAAUCAGCAUCUCCUAGUCCAUCAGGGUGAAAUGCUGUCCAAAAACCUUUCACUUGUUCGUCCCCGGCCGUUUGCAUUGUGUGAAAUACCAUCCACCUGAGACACGUAGUGACAAAUCAUUUUCUGUCUUUGGAGGAACUAAAUUAUAAGGGCGCACUUUAGACAAGGAAAUCUUAUUAACCUUUAUUUAACAACACAAAACCAGAUUCACACUUGACUUCUAUAACUUGGAGGUAACAUCACCCUAACCCCCAAUUUCAAUCGAAUAUGGAAUGCCUCCAAUCUGGAAUGGCUGUGUUUUUUGCCAUCUGCCAGUUCCUACUGGAUCCGUUCAUGGCGGAUUUUGGACAGCAGGAAUUGCAAGAACUCACAAUAACCCGGAUUCACAUGCAAUCGGAGGAAAUCCACUCCUAGACUUCUAGAAUCAGAAUUUCCUCAUCCAUUGUGUCAUCAGGGUGAAAUGCUGUCCAAAAACUUUUCUCUUGUUCGUCCCCGGCCGUUUGCAUGGUGUGAAAUACAAUCCGCCUGAAACACAGCGUUUUAUUUUGAAAAGUAGCUGGAUGUUUUAUUUUGUGUCCGUGCCAGACUUCCUUUCAAGCACGAACUAAUCUGUCCUGAAAAAAUACAACUCUUGCGAUCAGCUGAAGAGUCCACUGAUCUGCAGCGGAACAGAAAGAAGCCGGAGGAAAUUGACACGUUAACUUGAAUGGAAAUGAUCAGCUAUGAUCGGUGAAUACGGCCUUUUUGUAGCCGUUCCGCAUGCAAUGAAAAUUGGGGGUUGGGGGAACAACUUCAUCAUGACCAAGGUGGCUCAUGAAUGAAUGAUGGUGCGUUUCUCGCUGACCCAUCAAGGAUGGUUAAACAGAGAAGUUUCAUGGCCGCCAUUUUUAAGAGGAAUUUUCUUUUCAAGGACGACACAAUCGUCUUUGACUCAAAGGUCCUACAUCAUCCUCACCUUGAUUAGAGUAAAUACCGCAGACAGGCGUCUCUUCCAUAUUUAGGUGCCGUUUUAAAUUCAUUCUCGACACCGUCUCAGUGUCCUGUAGGAAACACUUUCCAUAAACCCGGAGAACAUGGCCUGUUUCAGUGCAGAGAGAGCCUCAUGUUUGCCUCCUGGUUGUCACUUCUUCCUCUGAAACAAUGCUACACUGUGCCAUGCUGCAGUCUCUGUGGGCCAUGUUCUGUUUUCAGACUUGGUAUUAAAAUGCAGGGAAACUUUAGGAAACAUGACACACUGCCUCGCACAUUAAAUCUCAGACUUUUGGCUUCCAAAUUUGUUGUAAAGCGUAGAGAGGGCUGGCAGCUGUUUACGGAAAAAUCCAUGUCUGUAUGAUAAAUAGAGCUGUAAAGGCUUGAGGAAAUGCUCUGAGAUUACAAAACAAUAUAGGAAUAUAUAAUUGUAAUUGUUUUCCACAUUUAAUCUUGCUUUUCUUUGUUUCAUCAUCUUCUCUCUUAUUUAUCCAACCAGUUUGAAGCAAACUCUCCUCAACAGACAAACUGAGCAAACAGGCAGGGGUGGAGCCAGACUGUCUUGUAAGGGUGUCCUAAUCCCCAAACUAAGAGGGGGUUAAACCCACUAAUCAUGUCCACUCAACCCUAACCCGAACUUUUAAUAUAACAGAAUCAAAAAACUCUAAAUUUAAAAGGUAACCCAACAGGGUAGCAACAUUGAAAUCUGCUAAACUUGAGCCUUUCGGGACCGAAAAAGACCAACAAGUCGAUCAUGGCACAGGGAUUCAGGAUGGCCAAUAAGAUUCAUCCUCUGGCUCAAGUCUGUACGUUUACAUGACACUCGAGAAAACCGAACUAUUGCCUUAUUCCGAUUAAGACCGGACAAAUGAAGUGCAUCUAAACACCUUAGUCCGACUAUAAUCAGAGUUUUAGAACUUCUGACGUCUGGCACGGACCUGCUGUUGUUGUUGACAGUUGUAUGGCUCUAGUUUUGGGGCGGAGGACACGUUCACGUCAAUAAUUGUAAGUCCGAUUCAGCGAAAAAAACUGAAUUAUAAGCUUAAUCCAAUUAAGAUGUGCAUGUAAACACACCCAGUGACUGCAACUACAUGGCGAUGACAACCGAGAUAUUUGUACAAAAUGAUUAAAUAUGAGAAGUAGGCUGUAAAAAAUAGUUGCAGCAUCACUUAUUUGUUUGUAAAUUUGAAACCCAUUGGCUGCGGUCUCCAUAUUGGUUUUGCUGACUUCCAAAGAUGGGCCUUUACCCUCAGUAACCAAGGCUACUGAAUAUUUUAUAUAAAAAACUUACAUAUAGAAAGAAAAUAAUGCCAUUACAGUGGCACCAUCCCCCUACAACAUCAGCAUGAAUUAAUACAGGCUCUACUUUAGCUUUAACAUCUGCGUCCUCAGUAGCUGUACCUUUAACAACUACAUGAAGAACAUCAGGAAGAACCGAAAGAGUUCCUGUCUCCUUUUACCAGCAGUGACAAAGUGAAAUUUUGUAAUUUUGUGCAGCAAACAAAACCAUCAUUUCUUGAAGUAGUUCCUGUAAUCCUCUACUCGAGACACUUUAUUCUCCGGCUGUGCAGAGGACUUAGAGAUCCUUCAGAAGAGCAUCAAGAAUCUGACAAGUGUUGGUAAUUUUGGGUUUUUUACUGAUGUGUGGAUGGCACUUUUAUUUUAUGAAGUGAGACCUUUGUAACAAUUGCAGUCCCUUUAAUAUAUAGUAAAAAGGCGCCUUACGUAUACAGAUACAUCUGGCUUAAAUAAGGGCUGGGCGAUAAACCAAAAAUUUACAGAUACUGAAAUUUACGACAAUAACCAAUGUCAUUUUGCCCGUAUCGGUAUGUUGGGCAUCAAGAAAAUAAAUACAUAAAAGUUUGUUUUGGAUGUGUGUAGGUAGGCUAUGGUCUCAUGUCUCUUUAAGAUGCUGUCCGAUGGCAGAAAUGUGACUCCACCCCAUCCAGUCCAUAACAAAGAGUGAAAGACAGGUGAGGAGACAGAGGAUGGUUCAAAGGUUGUAGUAGCUGGAGAGGCGGCUGAAGUAGAUGAAGUUAAUGUUGGAGAGGGUGAGCAGCUUGUGGAGUUAUUAUCGUCCAUUUAUCGUUAUCGAGGUGAACUGAUCAAUAUAUUGUGAUAUUGAUUUGAGGCCAUAUCGCCCAGCUCUACCUUGAAUCUUGUCUGUGAGGAGUUUUGCAGAUUGUAGAUUUAAGAUUGUAAGAAUUAGCCAAUACCAUUUGUUGACUUUUAUCCGACCCUCUUAUUCAUCGUUUUUAAAAGCAAUAAGACCAUAAUGAUUUGUAUUAAGCUCAGACUGGUUGUAAUAAAGGCGACUUCUAAAAUGAGUUUUAUUUUGAAAUCCAGAUCUGAUGGCUCUUUCUAAUUACGAGCUCCUUCUCUUUGCUGUUAUUUCAGAUUGAUCUGAUUUACUGCGCCGCGCCGCCGUAAUGUGCAUUAAGAAAACAAAUUCAAAUGUUGAAGCUGUAAACAAAUAAAUUCAACUGGGUUAGCUUGCACUUUGCCUCCCUUUAAAGUUUGGACUCUCACCACUUCCCGACUUCAGUGGAGAGUGUUUGCAGGUAGAGGCUCCUGCAAAAGUUUGCCUCCUCAUUUGCAAAGCUAGGUUAAGUUUAUGUAAAAGAGAUGCAUACCCAGUACGUCGGAGGCCCGGAAACAAACAUUUCCCCUCCCUCCCCUCCCCUUGACAGACGAGUGACAGCUAUUUAAAUGCAAACUGUCAUUAACAAACACAACCCUGCGCGACACCUGCUUUAAUCACGGCAACAAAGGCGCAGCAAGUGGCCGAGUAGGAGCCCCCUCUCUGUGUGAUAUUCAAAUGAUGGGGCGGCGCAACAAACAAAAACAACAACAUCAAAGAAUAGGCUGAGCGGGGAGAGGAAUCUGCUGCACUCUGUGCCUCCCACCACCGCUGCUAAUCAGCUUCAUUUUAAAAGUGAUUAAAGGAAGGAGUCACUACAUCGCUUACCCUUAGAAUUGAGGGAAACUGUAGUGCCUCUCUUUGAGUCUCUUUCUUUUACUGAGGCUUAUUCCUGCUGAGACAAAUGCAGCUCAAUUUCAUCCUCUUCAUAAAAUAUUAACAGUGACUUCCGGUUAAUGUAGAAACCUUUCAGCCGACUGUCCGCUCUGAAAUAUGAAAAUAUAACCCCCCGGUAUGACCCCUGAUUCUGUCUGUAUGAACCAAACAGUGAAAAAGUUCAGCCCGUUGAGUGUCGCUCACCUUCUUUAGCAGGCGCACAGAGACGUGCGGCCUAGCAGAGAUUUACCGAGGAGCCAGCAUUGUGGACAACGAACAACUUUACAGACAACUUUGAAAAAAUUCUUAUACAUAAAAUAAAACAAUAUGCAUCCUUUACGGUGUUUGCCACAUGACAUGCUGUGAAAGGAACGAUUUAAGAAGAAGCAUUAACCAGCUUCUGUAAAAAUUUUGCAAAUUUUUUAAAAUCAAAAUUCUGCCUUCGAGAUUGUGCAUAUUUGGGUAACUAUAGAAUUUAAGUGUUAGGCUGUCUUAUCACUUUUUAAGCUAUUUUUAAUCAGUUCUGUAACUUACAAGCCUUUGAAGUAGCUUAUACUUCAAAAUAAAAGCAUAGUUUAAUAAUGUAAAGCAAACUGAGCAGAAGACAGAUAAAAGUUCAAAAUAAAAGCACGACAAACAAUCGUGUCAAUUUGUAAAUUUCAGGAACUUGUGAAUGUAUAUAUUAUGUAACCUCAUCUGAAAUGUAUUUACUGUUUUGUUUUAAAUGUUGAGAAUAUAUAUAUGUAUAUGUAUGUAUGCUUUUUUUAAUCAGUUCUGUAACUUACUUGCCUUCAAAAUAAAAGCAUAGUUUAACAAUGUAAAGCAGCCUAAGCAGAAGACAGAAAAAACAUUCAAAAUGAAAGCGUGACAAAUAAUCGUAUUUAUAAGUAAAUUUUAUGACCUUGUGAAUGUAUUUACUCUGUUGUUUUAAAUGUUGACAACAUUAUAUAUAUAUGUAUAUGAGGUAGGUAGAAAACAUCAAUUUUAUACUUCCUUUUUCUUUCUUUCUUUCUGUUUUUUUUUUUUUUACCAGAACAAAAGUGACACUUCUAGUGGCCAUGGAAACAUUGUACUCUAAUCCUUCUAUAGACCAGAUCAAGAUGAAUCAAGUUAUAUCUACGUAUCUGUACGUAUCUUUUCAAAACCUCCACAUGACCAGUAGCAUAUAUACUGCAUAAAUUAAAUCAGGUCUGGGUCAUUCAUAUUAUUAGACUGUGAGUGUUUUGUGCUGUUCUUUACUCUGUGGUUCUUCUUGUAUGAAUGAUGCUUUCAUGAGGAAAGUCCAUAUAUUCUGAUGUAUAAGAGAUGCUCCUUUUCUUUAUGAAAAAACUUUAUGAAUUAGUUUUUUUUUCAAGUGUACUGUCUCUAUAUGACGAGCAUUUCUGCUCAUUGUCCACAAUGCUGAUGAAGGUCUACGGCUGAAGACCGUCCUUUGCUCAGCUUUUGUGUCGUGUCGUGUUGUUCUGUGUGCACCUAAAGACAGUUCAUGUAAGUGUGCUCCUGUUUUUUUGUCCGUCUCAGCUGCAGAGAAACUCUCGUUGUCAUGUGGACUAACACGUCUACUUUUCAUCAGAACUGAGGCUGUUUAUUGUGAAAUUCUCUGAACCCUUUUUUUCCUCUUGGACUCAGAUGCCUGAUGUGUCUUGGUUGCAGUCCUGUCUUGGGCAGUUGUUGUUCUGCCCGGUCAUGAUUUAAAUGAGGAAGUCAUUGGGCUGUAACAUCCCGUGUGCCCGCCAAGGCCCGGGCACUUGUAACUAAUGCACGGCAUUUGUUUUGAUUAGUUUUUUUUUCCCACCCAAAGCAACUGCAGAAAAAUCCAGCUGUAUUUGCAACAAAUUCACUUUGUUUGUUCCACCACAAAUUUGCACAGUUUGAGUUCGGCAAAUUAGGAUAAACAUUUAUUUCCACAGCAUCCUUUUGUUCAUUUGCUCCUCAGUGGUGCGUAUACUGUACAUACAGGCAGAAAAACACCAUAAUGGUGUAUUUACGCGCAUCAUUUUCCUUCUUUUUGUCCUUAAAGAGCGACAAUUUCAGUCCUAUAAACAACAUGCUGUGAACAUCCUGCGAGAAGUCUGCAAAAACAUAUAGAAGAAAGAAGCAAAAUUACACUUAAUGUUUCUUUUCUGCAAAUUUCCCUCUCGAUAUAUUAUCCAGAACAAUUCAAGCUGCAUCCGCCAUAUUUCAUCCCUAUUAAAUGCUGCUUAUACGCCUCAGUUAAUGAUGUAGGAACUUUAAUCCUAUAUAUAUUUACAGACGGAGAGACUGGCUCGGUUUCACAGUCUCACAAGCUUUGUGCCACGUUUGAUUCAGAUGCCUCACUGAUUGGUUUAAUUCCUGGAGUGAAUCAUGCAUCUGGGCAGCAGAUAGAUGCGGACGACAUGUGCAAGGGUGUCGGUUGUAUCACCACAACUUUGGAAACCGAUGUUCGUGUGAUUAUUAGACAUCUGCUGCAAACGGGGGAGCGAAUAAAUCAGGAGCCACUCUAACUAAUCAAAUUUAAUCACACAAGCAGCCUACUGGAUAUAAUUAAUGGACACAACAUACAGCAUACAUCCACUUCAAUCUGCUGCGAAUUGUAGCCAUGAAAUAUUGUAAAUUUAUGCAACAUGUUUCCUGUACAUAUGUAAAAGUCAUGCUCCAGGAAAACUCGACGUCAGGAUGAAUAAGUGCAGAUGUACCAGUACAUUAACGCAGAAACGCUCGAUCAUGCGUUAAAAAUCCCACCGAAAGGAAAUGAAGUUGACGUUUUUAUUAUAGAGAAAUAAUUUAGUUCAGGAGAAGUUAACCCAAAGGACUGAUGGACUUCCUAAUGUGAUAACACGGUAUCUAAAUGUUGUAACUGGUUAAGGGAGACAAUUUAUAUACAUAUGCUGUGGGUGGUUUAGUCCACUUAGAGGUCAAAGAAUCAACCAGAGGAUUUAUGGAGCAAGAAGAAGGGAGCAUAUGCUUCAUAAAUUUGCAAAUUUCUCUUAAAAUUCUCUUAUAAAUGCUUUUUUAUGACCGAUGAGAUACUGAUGGCACACCUCUGUUGACCUCAAACAGCUUCAUCUGAGAUAUUAAUGCUUAAAAAAACAGACUGAUAUUCAUGUUGAUGAAUGAAAAUGAUGAUAACAAGACCAUCGGGAACAAGAUUGAAGGUUUUUUUUAAUGGUAAAGGGAUAUUCCGCAGUGAAAUUAAUUUAGGGUCAAACACGCCGAAACACUGAGUUACACAUCCCCUCGAGAGAUGAAUGUUAAUGACUGCUGAUGAAUGAAAUGACUGCUUGCUUCUCUAGUUAUACCAAUUUUAAUAAUGACACAGCGGUCUGAGGAGCCAUAAACACCAUUUCUUUAUCAUUCCCUUGAAGUAGAGGUAGAGAAGUAGAAAGAGGUGCAAAGGUCACCCACUGGUGCUUUAAAUUAACUUACCGUAUUUUCCGGAGUAUAAGUCGCACUAGCUAAAAACUGCAUAAUGAAGUAGAAAAAACAUAUACCACUGUAAGUCACAUUUUUUGGGGAAAAUUUACUUUACAAAAUCCAAGUUCAAGAACAGUAACAAAAGAAUAGAGAACAGGCUGAAUAGGUGUACGGUAUGCUAAUGUCGCACUUUGAUGGUUAUUCAGGUACAUGAAACAUAAACAACAAAGUCAUUAGGUGUUCGGUAUGUUAAUGUAACAUUUUAACAGUUAUUCAGAUAACUAUGGUAUAUAAAGAACAUGACAAAACAAGUUUACCAAACUCUUUAUCUUACUCCAUAUCACUAAAUCCAUUGAAUUUUUCAUCCUCAGUGUCACUUCUGAACAGCUAAAGUGCCCUCUAGUGGCUAUCAGGGUGAAAAUAUAUAUAUAUACAAGUCGCACCUGAGUAUAAGUCGCAAACCCAGCCAAACUAUGAAAAAAGUGCGACUCAUAGUCCGGAAAAUACGGUACAUUUCAUCAUCUAUUUCUGAUUAUGUUCAAUUUUAUAAUAUAUCCACAUCACUGGCUGUGUAACUGAAACUACUUUAAAGAAGUAAAGUAGUGUUUGGCAUGCUUUUAUUUUAACAGUUUAGGGUGCUUUACAUUGUUUGACUAUGCUUUUAUUUUGAAGUUUAUGCUCCAAGAAAAAAUAACAACGGGUUUCAAAUUUUAAUAUUCGACCAGUUUCUUUACCUCAAACCAAACCCUACUCUCUGAAUCCAAACAAAGGUACUUUUUUGAACUUUCUGAAGUUUAGUUUCAGACAUACAAAACCAUCUUGCUGUAGUUUUUGAAUAUUCCAGCUGCUCAGCGCUUAAACACUUCCUCCUACUCGCUGUGAAACCUCUUUAUUAGACCUUCAGUGUGCACAAAAUGCCCCAGCCAUGACAGUGAAUGAUGACUUUAUUUAAAAUCAUAAUACUUUUAAUAAAUGAAGUACAGGGUGCACUGUGAACUCGGAGGACGUGAUUUAAUACUCCGCUCCCUUGUUAAUUAGAUUCCUUCAGGUGUUAACUGCAAAUGCCAGGCCUCCCAAAACGCACCGGCGGUGAUGUCUGAACGGAGACGGCGGACUGUGAAGAGGCCGCUUGCGACGUCAGGAGCGAAAAUACCUCACAGAGCUCAUGAAGCCCUGAUCAGACGAAGAUCUGGGGGUUAGUCCACCGAGCUGAUUCACAGAAAAUCCUCCUUAUUGAUGAACAGAACAAUCCAGGUGACAUUUAGCAGAAACAGUAGAAGUCAUUUUCAUAAAAAAAAAAAACAGUGAUCUUUACAUCGUGAUUAAUAUUCGUGAAGGAUCAGGGACGAGCGUCACUGUCUAAUGAUGUUAUUUCUGAUUUGACAGUUUCUUCAUAGUGGGAGCAGGACUCAUAAACAGGUGACAGACAAUCUCCAGGGCUUAAAUGGAUCACCGAGCUUCUUAGGAAACAACCAACUAAAAACCACAAAUAAAGACAAUAAGACCGUGACAUGAUACAAAUCUUAAUAUCCAGGAUAUUAGACGUCUCAUUUGUCUCUUCGGGGUUACAUUUGAUAAAAUAUACUUAAAACUAGGGUCGCUCUACAAACAAGUAAAUCACCUUUUGUUACAGUCUGAUAGAGAGUGUUUAAGGACAGCCCAUACAAUAAGGUGGCCAUACGUCCUCUUUUACUCAGACAUGUCCUCUUGUUUGGGGGCUGUAAGGGCUGUACCGCCUUGUCCUGCUUUGUUCGGGGGAGGUUUUGAAAUCCUUCAAAUGUCUUGGGUUUUGGAUAGAAGUUUCAAGUUUAUGUCGCGUGAAUUUAGUGGGUUAAAAGCGCGUAAAAGACACUCAAUCCGACCUGAAAAGCACAAAAUUAACUACUCCUGACUCUGUGACUCUGCCCCCACGUAGUCGUGUCUUCUUUUUGGGGAUUUAGAAAAUGUUCACCCUACAUUACAAUCAGCAAUGUGCAGUUUCUGUGUGAAUGUGUAGCGAACCUGCACUUUACAAGUUUUUUUUGCAUUACAGAAUCCUGCUGUUUACUUUAAGUGAAAGAUUGUGGUGUAACAAGGGAACAAAGCAGAUUGUUUCGCCACGCCGUUUAUCCAGGGUGUUUUCUGCGCUGGAGUGGCAGCUUACUUUGCUAAUACACCGUAACUUGUUAGAGUACUGUUCUUUGUAUUCUACAUGCGCCCACACAGGAUGCACCAGAUGACAAAAAGGUGUUACAAUUUCAUCUAAUACUUUUAAUUUCAUAGUAUUUACUGCCAAAUAUCCAAAAAUUACCAGAUAUUAAUUUUGGGUAAAAUUGCCACAGAUCAAUCCAGCGUUUAUUUACUAUAAUAAAGAACUUUGUAGCAUAAAUAAGAAUUUAAGACACCUUCAGUAGAACCUACAAAAGAGGAUAAGGGCCACAUAAAGAGAAAAAAACUAAUUUCAGGAAGGAGAUUGAAGUUGAAAUUUUGAGAUUAAAGUUGAAAUUCUGAGAUUGCAAAAUGUCAAAUGUCGUGAAUAAUGUUGAAAUUUCGAGAUUGAACAAUUAAAAUUUCAAGAUUAAACUCCAAAUUUCGGCUUUAAUCUCAAAAUGGUAAUUAAAAAAUAUCUCCCUCCUGUAAUCAUUUCUUUUCUCUUCUUGUGGCCUUAAUCCUCUUUUGUAAGAACUAAACUCAUUGGUCGAAGUCGUCUGCCACGUUUUGAUAUCCGGAGGUGGGAUGGAGGUGGAGGGAUUUGUGCCUUUCGUAAAGAUUUCUACCUCUCAGUGGGGAUCUUGUGGUUUUAUUGUUCUCAACGUGGACGCCAGCCUCUUUGGGCUCAAUUUACCCUCCUGGGUGCAUAUGAAAUAAUAAAUAGAUGCAUUCUUUGAGGUGGAAAGCAUCAGGUAACUCUGAAUAUUUGAGCAACAGCUCUGCGAGAGAGAGGGCUGCUAUUUCUGCUAACCUUUUUUCUUUUCGUGUGCAUAGUUUCCUCUUCUCUGUUUGUUCUCAGCACCAUGACCCGUAUUUAACUCUGCUCUCUAAAUUUACCGUCUGCAUCCUUUAGGUAAACUCUUUGCUUGCAUGUUGGUCUCUCAUUUGAGGUGAUGAAUAACCUAGGCUUUAAGUGUCUCGUUUUUUUGCAUAAUAGCGAGAGCAGAAUUCAAAACGAGCAAGAGGUGCUUUGAUUCAACCACCAUGGGCUGAUCUGAGAUCCAGGUUGGUACAGUUUAUUGAGGAUUUUAAUAUUAAUGUUAGAUUAAUAUUAUAUUAUAUUAAUGCCUGAGCUGGGGGACCUUAAGUGACUAAGGCAGCCAGAUCUUCUGCAUGAGUAACCCUGCAGUUGGACAUAAGCGGUGAAACAGAGCAGAGCGACCAACAUCGGCUCGUCGUCUCGCCCAGCUGGGAGACUGUCCAAUAACAUCUUCCUCAUAUAUUCAUGCUGGAGUUUUUUUUCCAACUCCGUGUUAAGAAAGUCCUUGAGCAUCAACAAUGACUAAUUCCUUCUCAUUUAGGAUUUGAAGACAAAUUUCUGUGAUUAAUUCCCGGUCACAAAACAGCUUUUUUCUUUUUUUCUUUCUUUCCUGUAGCUCCAGUUUCAACCCUCCUACAGAUUCGGACCUUGGCGCUUUGAGUCUCAACCUUAUGUGCUCAAUUUAUUCCGACUUUUCAGCGGUCAUAAAAACAAGUCAGGCGCUGGUGUUGAUUGCAGGGAGGAGCAGGACGUGUUAAGCACCUCAGGGCUGAAAGGAAAUAAUUGAUUUUUGCCUACAAGGUUAGAAAGAGUGAACUUUGAAAACCUACACAAGCCCAGCAGUCGUCCAAUUAACAGUUUGGAUUUGGAGAAAGCUUUAAAUAACCUCUGCAUUUGUUUACCGUCACCUGAAAGUAUGUGAGAAUUCACAACAUGUCAAACAAAAUCCCUGUUUAGAAACGUCUGUCUCUUUGUCUGAGAGUUUAAAGCUCAGAGGAAGUGUGUGUUUACACACCCAGAAAAAGCAUUUUCUUAAAAAACUGCACAUAUCUCCUUUGGCGUUAACAUCAAAUACAGAUAUUUUUAGCUUCCUCUUACCUCGAAAGCAAGUGUGACUUUUAGGGAAAUUAAGGGAGUUGCUUCACAAUGCCAUCUCCUGAGACUUCUAUUUAUACUCUUUAGCAACUUAUAUUAUUAGGCUUCAAAGACUUUAAUCAGCAUAUUUAUAAUAAUUUUGAUUAUUUUAUUAGGCUGUGGAAAAGAGGGAGUUGUGGUUCUCGUGUGUUGCAGAUAAAAGAAAGUAUUAAUAACCGUCUCAUUGUUCGUCACUUUGCAUGUUUUAAAUAUCUCCUGAGAUAUGUGAGCCAAAUGCAGUGGUAAGCGAAGAUCUUUUCGAGCGCAAUUUACAGAAUUAAAAGACUCUCUCUUCGGGUGAGAAGCCUCUGCUACCUUUUCUCUUUUUUUUUUUUUUUUCAUUUUCGUUGAUGGAUCAGCUUCCAAAAAGCGAUGAUUCACGGCUGAAGGGAAAUGCAGCCGGCUCAGUGCGCCCGUGCGAGUCCGCCCAUCCAUCUUUUCACCUCUUCAUUGUUUGUACAGUAGAGCAGGUUGCAUCAGACGGCAGCAGAAAGCAAUCAGCCUCUGUCUAUGAAAUGUUGGUUUUAUCUAAGCCCUGCCAUUUACCAAAGUCCUGUAGAGCAAACAGAGGGGGAAUACAGCAGGCGCUUUAAAUGGCAUAAGUGUUGUUGGAUCAACGCAUUUCAAUACUGUAAAGUACCUCACCUUAAUCCUCUUUAAACUGUAUUUUUCAUACACGCUUUCAUCUGUACUGUAAACUGACAAUGUCAAUAUGACCGAUUUUGCUUUGACUUAAGGUUAGAGUGAAAAAAAGACUACAGUAAGAAUUUCACCUUCCUCAUACUCAACGGUUUUCCUCUUACUCUUCAUAGGGCUAUUUCCGGCGUAUAACCGGGCAGCGACUACGCCAACCUUCCUGUACGCCGCCGGAUCAAAGAGCUGUUGGAGAACAUCACAAGGUGAGACGUUUACAAGCUCUUCAAAAAGACAUGAUGGAACAAAGAGGAGAGCCAUCCGGGGUAAACUGCUUCAAUGCUGGUUCACUAAACAUCUCUGAUACGACGCUGCGGUUCUUACAAUGUAUUUAGACGUGAGAGCAACGCUGAUGGACUUUGAAAAGUUCAGGAUCUGGUUCUGGACUGUCUGUGUUACAUAGACGAGGUGUGGUGCUUUAUCAGGUUAAGUUACUUUCGAGUGCUGCGACGGUGGUAAUAGGAUCAGUUUGUUCUUCCAAAUCCUGUGUAUCCUACAGAAACACCGUACACUCCAUGUGCUCUGUACGAAAAAUCUGUUUUUUUUUCUUACUUAUACUUUAAUGAAACCUUAAUUUAAGAUUUCAGAGACCAGUUCAUCUGUUGGCUGGUUAAUAUCACCAACAUCUUCUCUAAAUAAUUACACAUCUCUCCUCUUCUGAAAGACUCACUGCACAUCAAUUUUUUAGUCUAUUGUGAUUAUGAAGUUUCUUAGUCAAAAUCAUGUCACCUGUGUCGUUUUUAAGGGCUUUUCUUCUGCAGAGCUCCAGUCGCUCAUUAGCAAUUCACCUCUGACUCGUGGGCGGAGACAGAGCUGCUCUGCACACUCCUCCUUCUGAUAUCAGCACUAUUCAUUAUUAUUAUUAUUCAUUUUUAGCAAUUUCUCCUGAUUCUGAAUCUGAUUAUCGGCUAUUGGCACAGUGGUGUAGUGGUUAGCACUGUCGUCUCACAGCAAGAAGGUCCUGGGUCGAAUCCCGAAGUGGGGUUAUGUUAACUGGCCACUUCCAAAUCGCCCGUAGGUGUGAAUGUGAGUGUGGAUGGUUGUUCGUCUCUUUAUGUCAGCCCUGCGAUGAACUGGCGACUUGUCCAGGGUGUCCCCUGCCUUCACCUGAAGAUGCUGGGAUGGCUCCAUCCUGGUAGAAAAUGGAUGGAUGGAUGGAUGGAUGGAUGGAUGGAUGGAUGGAUGGAUGGGCUAUUGGCUGACCCACUCUCUCAUAAUCAGUCGACCUCUAGUUCAAGCCAUGGACGAUUUUUUCUUCUGUUUAUAACAGCACUGAAUACUGUCCUACUUCUUAAACACUAGUUGCACAAAAUGACCAGGGUACCUCAGAAAAUGUGUAAUAAUUUGAAAUUUCUUCUUUUUUUUUUUUAGAGUCAACCACGUCUAUUCAAAGUUAAAUUUCAGAAGAAAUCACCAAUCGUAUUUACUCUUAAUCAGCAUCUAAGAUUCUGCAAAUUUAUUUCUAUGGCACAUUUUGGCAACAAGAAAAUUCAAAGUACUUCACACUGACAUUUUCUACAGAGGUCAGAAAAACACAUUUGAAAGAAAAUGUUUAAAAGUCAUCAAAAGGAAAUAUUUAAACCCAUAAAAACAGCAAAAACAAGGUUACAUUUUUUACACAAUGUUGGUUUGUUGGUAUUGAACGUUUACUUCAUGUGAUCCAUCAGUUUACGCCAAAGAUUUACUUCUGUCAAGAUACAACUAAAUUUAAAGUGCUGAAAAUCAUUAAAGUAAAGAAAAAAUGACAUGAAACAGAAAAACUGAAGGUUGAGACAUGACAGUUUCUGUAAACAGAAACAUAAAAGCUCAGGCGCAAACUUGUGUACUGGAAAUAAAAACGGGCGAGAUAAUAAUUUUUAAAGCAAUCUAGUAAAAAGCAGCUGCGAACAGGUGAGUCUUUAACCUGGAGACUCACUGAACCAACAUGUUGAUGGAAAGAGCGAACUGAAAUCCAUCAAAAGAUCCAUAAAUGACAUGCCUUACAGGACGUUUUUGAUCUGAGGCAACACUGAAGCAACAUCGCCUGCAAACUCAAGGAGAACAACGUUGUAUCUUUGUUUAUUUAAUUCUAAAAAGUGCCGCACUUUAUUGUUGUCAGGGGAGCACUAAAUCAGGUGUAGACACGUUUAAAUGAAUAAAGCUGUCUGAUGGUUGAAAUCGGGAAAAUAAAACGAUAAAAAUCAGUUUAGAUCUCUAAAUUUAAGUUUUGUAGCUUCAGGUUCUUCGAGUUUUAACUUGAUCUCCUUUUUUAUCAUUUUAACAGCCGUUUUAAAAAGCAUUAUCGCAAAUAAAAGCAGUAAAGUGUAUUUUGAACCCAUCUGGCAUUGUUUCUAAGCUCUCUAACUCACAGUAUAUGGAUCCAAUUGGAGAAAAUAAGCCGAAAGAAGAAGCAGGAGUGAAGUGUGCAAUCAUGGUUGGGAGCCGUUGCUUGGGGGACGUGGAGUCAGAUUUAUGUGAAAUGAUUUAGGAGAUAAAACCGGGAUGUGCUACUUUUUGGCGUGUACAUAUCCAUUUAUGUAAUUAACUAGGAGUGCUCCCGUUAGCGACAACGGUUAAUAAGCUCCAGUGGGAACGUGGGAAGGCAGGUGAACCCGUGGCCCUGGAGAUGUUAAACACAGAUGAAUAGAUGCCAUAGCACACACACCACCUAGUAAAUCAGAUAAAAUGAGCACUGGAACAGGAGGCAAAUGGGCCUCGCGCUGAAAACUCAAUAUCACAUAAAUGGACAGGCCUCUCAUAGAUAUUGGAAACGGGUAACCUUGCCACUGCCAGCUCACCUUUUCUAUUGCUCACACGCCCACCGUGCAUUUACAGGCUCUACCUUCUUCGGGUCCAUUUAAGCCUUCAAAACCUUUACAUGUGGGGGCUAUAAUGGGCGGUUGGCUAAAUGAAUGUAUAAUUUUAAUAGCUGUAGUAACAAGAUAGAGAAAACAAUAUAUUAUGCGAUCCUCUGUGGCGGUCCUCGAUGCGGCGUUGCUGUAGCCUUUGGGACAGAGAGGGAGGGAAGUGGAGGAAAAUGCAAGGUCACGGGUUUGAUAUUCAUCAGAGGGGAAGGCGAUGACCUCCUGAACCUUCUGCAUGUAGAAACAAUAAAAGCUUUUAUAGAUAGAUAGAUAGAUAGAUAGAUAGAUAGAUAGAUAGAUAGAUAGAUAGAUUGAUUGAUUCUACAAAGCCCAUUUUACCCAGAUCUUGUCAUUCAGAUUCAAAGAUGACCUAUUUAGAUCACAUUUUUGUGUUGUACGUUCCUUCGAGACAUACAACUGCUGACUCUACCUUUGAAUAAAUCUCAGAUGGUUCCUCCUGCGUCAAAUGUGGCUAAUGCUUUCAGUUUUUGUUUUUUUUCUACUUCUGUACUUUCUUUUCUUUUUUUGCAAGAAGAGUGAAAUCUUGAUUUUGAGGCCAGGGGGAGAACAAAGUCUUUCAAAGUUUGUGACAGUUUCAGCGAUCUGUUUUUAGCUUUUUAGGCGUGACUCAGCCUCACCUUCAUUCUGUUUAAACUCGCUUCACUCAUCAUCUAAAUGCCACAGUUGAAUGAACCUCCUGGUGUGAUUCAUAAAAAUAGUGACGUCUCGAGCCAAGUUGGUGGUAGAGCGUCACGGCGGAAGACACAAACUUUAACAGUUUUCUAUUUUUGUAACGCUAACAGAGCUAACAUUAGCCUACAUGCAGAGAAACCCAGUAUUCCUUUUAAAGCAACCAUAAGGAGUUUUUGGAUAUUUUCAAAAUAGACUAAUAUUUAUAUUAAUGUGUUUUUGUAACGCAUAAAAGCAAUCAGUGACAAAGUCUGACAAUUUUAUUGUCUGACACCAGUGUGGAAGGGUAGGUGUCAGCAACAGACUUUUUAAUACAUUUUCCACAAUAAAAUGCACACACAACAAUUGAUGACUUUUAUUUUGGAGGUCAGUGUAACAUGUUUUUAUACAAGAGACUCCUUGAGCUUCUAUGCUACAAGAUAAACAAGGACUGAUUUGUCCACAGGGGGCGCCAAACUGGCACAAACCAAAAAUUCACAAGAGUUUUAAUGUUUCAUCAAUUUAUGAUUAAAGGGUUAAUAAAUCCUUUAAGCUCUUUGUACACAGUUGUAAAGAGAACUACCGUAUGAAAGUUUCCUCUAUGGUUAUACUUUUAAGAAUAAAUUUUCCGCUUUUUUCAGAUUCAUCUUAUGUGCUAAGAGUGCUAUCUGAAUGAGAAAACGUGGACAAUUUUCUUGUUUUGGAUGUUUAAUCGACUCAAUCAAAAAAAAGUCAGUACGUUUUUCAAAUGAAUAGGUUUAUUUCAAAUGUUGACUAAAACUGGAAUAAAUUGAGUAUCCUAUAUUGUGUUCCCCUCCAUGUAAAAGUCUCAGUUGAACUAAAACUGACCUUAGAGUUUGGAGUUGAGUAGCAUUGAUUUGUUGCUUAAAAUGUAGGCAAAAAACAACACCUCAACACGUGAAGAAAAAACAUCAAAAAGACAAAAUGUUCUUAUCACACUAAAAAACGGUAAGAAACUGUAAAUGUAAAACGGUAUAAAACUGUACUUGGACUAGCAUACCUGGAUAAUGCUGUUGGGAAACAGUUUUCUCCUCCAUUUAAACAUCUCAAUAAAACUGAAACUGACCUCAGCGUUUGGAGUUGAACAAUAUAGAUUUGUUGCUAAUAAUUCAGGUAGUGAACUAAACAGAUCAAGAAAAAAACUUUAAAAAGACAAAACUUUCCUAUCGCACAAAAACAGUAUCUAACUGUGACUGUUUUCAUCGUUUUAAUUAACCUCUCUGAAAGUGUUUUGCAGACUAUUUGACACCUCACGAACGAGCUGUACGAGUAAAGUAGCAUGGAUUUGUUGCUUGCAAUUCAGGUAGUAAACAAAACCUCAACAGGUGAGAAAAAACAACAAAAAAGACGAAACUUUUCUUUCGCACAAAAACUGUGUUAAACUGUAAAAGUGACUGUUUUCAUUGUUUGCGUUAGCAUCUUGCCAAAGUGUUUUGCAGACUGUUUGACACGUCACGAAUGAGCUGAAAUGUCGCCACCUACUGGAGCUUAAAUUAUCCAAGUCAAUCCAAUCCGCUUCAUUUAUAUAGCACAUUUUAAAACACAUUUAAGUCUACCAUAGUGCUGCACAAUAAACAUCAAGAUGAAAUAAAUAAAAGCAGGUAAAAAAAAACAAAAAACAUUUAGAACAAAAUAAAAUGAAUGAAAUAAAAACACAAACGCAUAAAAGAAAUAUAAGCGAUAAAAGGACCAUAAAGGACAUAAAAGGACAGAGAUCACACAGCUCUCAUGCUGAGCGAAAAGCCAAGGAAUAAAAAUGAGUUUUAAGACGUGAUUUAUCUUUGAAAAUACAGAGCAGUACAGAGAGUAAAUUUUAAACGUAGUUCUUUUUCUAAAGUUACUAAAUAUUAACUAAAAAAAGUCAAAAAAAGUUCUGCAAAUUAAUAAAAAAUACUCUCUUCACCACGUUGAUUUACUGAGAGACCUGCGAGCUUUUCAGAGCCUGUUUUAUGAUUUCAUUGGCAUAUUCUGGCAUAGCAACUCGGGCAGUAAUCACAAGGUCAUCUCUGUGUGAAUCCUGAAAAACAAACUUUCAAAUAAAUAAUCUGCCGUGUCUUCCCGGCCAAUAACGGGGAGAGCUUUUACUAUGAUUGCCUUAUCUGAAGCGGCGAUCGUCUCACAAGACCAAAAUAAUGCGGAUUCUGAUCUUAAAAUCGCAGUUCAGUCAGAAGAUAAUUUCCAGGCGCUUAAAAUAAACACAGUGUUGAUGAUAAUGCUGCACAGCGUAGGCUUGUAUAUUCUCUCCCAGCUGCAACACUGUGUCAUAUAUCAUUAGGAAGUUAUUCUACACACAAAAGCACCGUUGAGAAUAGGGAAUAAUUAAAGUGUUUGAUGCCAGAAAUAUCCAUUUGGAUUCAUAAAGCAAGAAAACAGAGAGCGGGAGCGUGAAGAGGAAACAAACCGUGACUGUGACGACCACUGUGGGUCGUGUUUUAUAGAAUAGUGCUGCUAAUUUAAAUGGGAUUUCUUGUUUAAUUUGUUUAAACGUAGCCGGCGAGUUUCCUUUCGAGAGUGUAUUUAUGCAUUGAUAGUGUUUAAGAACAUGAUAAAAAUGAGACUCUGCUACAGCUACUGUAAAUUAUUACUUGUGUAGUCUGCCUGCGUAAUGCGCCUCACACUUAUCUCGCUGUUUUUAUGACCUCUGUAAUUACGAAAUAAUGGCGUGAACUUCUCCGGCGCAACUAUCUCCUCUUACACCGUUGUAAUAAUAAAAUAAAAACCCGGUAAUAAAGCCAUAACAAUGCACUUAUCAGAAAAGUGUCCUCCAUUGAAGUCAGCUCUAAUUGCAUGGAGUUAUGGUCUAUUAGACGAGGUCUGGAAUAGCUGCACUUGGCACUUUUAUGAAGUGAGGGUUUGAGAGAGGAAGUGUGGGAAUGCAUGCUUUUCAUGGUGUUUCUUAUUUUAUGAGCUUUUCAGUAACUUUGGGCCCGCACACCCCUUUAGCCUUGCCCGUCUUUUUUACUUUGUCCAUUCCCUCCUUUAUGAUUUAAAUAAUGAAACUCUCAUGUUUUGCCUCUUAGCAGUGCUCUUGUACAUCACAGCUGCACAAGAAGAGUGCUUGGAUCACCAGCCGCUGUCACAGAGGACUUGGCUGCACGACGGAGACGAGGUAGAGUGUUUUUUUUUUUUCUUCUUGAAGCAAUGUCACCUUGAUGAAAUCACAAGAGUGGAGUUCAGGAUUCCUCCGACGGUCACGGUACAGUGUUGUUUUUGAGCGCUUUGAUGCGGCGUGUCAUGUACGGUGUUACUUUAAAAUAAGACUUCUGAAUCAGACAGCAAAAAAAGAAAUAUACUCUCUGACUUCAGGUGCAGAGAGAGACACUGCGGGCGCUCUUCCUUUAAGCAGCAGUCAGAUGAGACACCCUCCCCAAUGACCAUUAAUGUAGAACAAGAAAUAUCUUCUAAGUUAUGUGCUCUUAUUUUGGGAACACAGCCCCUCAUUAGCAUACUUUCCCUCUGCACAAGUCCCUUUGGUGGUGUUUGGAUGAUUUGCACGCCGAUACAUAUUCACAGAUUCAUCGCAGUUAGAGCACAGAUUCAAUAAAACAAGAGUCCGGCUGCUUUCUCCUCGGUCUCCAGCCCUCUCACUCAUCCUCUGUCCUUCACUCGGCUCAUCUCUGGCUCUGCAGCGGUAAUUAACAGCAGCGUUACAUCUGGGGAGAUACUGCGAGCUAUGUCAGAAAAUUAGGCGGUGGAAUAAUGAGGGUUGAGGGACGUGCACUGUGCUGCUCGGGCUGCGGCGCUUGCACUGAAAUCAAAGGACUUUCACAGCUAAUUGGAGAGGGGUUAAACUGCUUGGCUGCCUCACCCCUGUCCCGAGCUCUCCGCCCAAAAAACCCACCCUGAGGAGAUGAAUGCCUCUCUCUUUUUACUGUAGUUUUGCGUUUCAUUUCCAUACCAAAGUGAGAUUUUUUUCUGUGUCUUUACCCCGGUGAGAUAACUUUGCCUGUACUCUAUACGGGGCCAAUUUAAACUACAAGCAAUUACUCCUUGUUAUAAUUUUUUCUCCUCUCUGUCUGGGAACCGGAAAAGGCCACCCAGCCGGGUUGUUUUCUUCUGAAUGGUCACCAAUUACCUCAAUGUCCUUGCGUUUGACCAUAAGAAACACACAGUAUAAAUCAAUGCGAUGUUCCAGCGGUACGUCGACGCGCAGAAGUAGAAUUAGCGCAGCGCGACGGCGAGGAGACACCCCACUCUUCUCUUCCUCUCUCCCUGGUUACAAUGAUGGCAUCAGCAGCGUGACACUGUGUAAUGAGCACAGCCACGGCCCGCUGCUCAGAGGAAUACGCUAAAUACACACCCUCCUCGCCAUUGUGUUUGGGAUUGUACAGAGCAGCUGCGGGCUCCCCCUAAUCACUACUGUAUUCAUGUGUGUUUUUAAGACACAAAUCAAGCAAAUUGUGUCCUGAAUAAUAAAGAGAAAUCAAUAAAAUCAACAAUGGAUUGACUCUGCAGGCCCUCGCGUUUGUUCUCAGAGCUGAGCACUGUGUUUGAUUAUCUUGACCAACACCUCAUAUAUUACAAUUACGUGAAUGCUUUUGUCUACACUUAUAAUAAUGAUGUUUAAUAAACCCACAUGAAAGGAAAUUGGCACUGCAGGAUCAUUGACCACAGUAAUAGACUUCUAAUUUCGCAUAAUGACAUUAUAGAAGUGCAAUGAUUAUAAAAUGAUGAGUCAUAAAUAGUUUCUCUCUCUUUUUCUGCCAUGGUGAUGUAAUCUCUACACAAAGUUUAUAAAGAGUGGGACUGUCUUACAUUUGAGGUUCAGGAUUUUUACAGCAAACACCCUCUAUGACUGAGACCACCCGUCGCUCACAACCACAACACCAAAGGGAUAAAGAGCGGAGAGACACAAUGAUGGUCCUAAACAAAGCCACUGAGGAGACAGCCAAGGCAGUCAGGCUGAGUCUGAGAUUUGGUGCCAGUUUCUGAGUCAUUCUGUUAGUGAAUUAAAAUAUUGUGAGCCCAGAAAGACUGUUUGACAACACCAACAGUCAGGAACCAUCUUCUCGUGGUUCUCACAGUUAAAGGGAUAUUCCGGCGUAAAAUUAAUUUAGAGUCAAACACGCAGUAACACAGAAUUAGACACCCCGUCGAGAGAUGAAUGUUGCCGACCGCUUGCUUCUCUAGUUAUAACUAAUUUAGUAACGACCACAGGAUAGCAUUACAGAGAGCCACGCGCUCAACCAAAACGCCACUCUAUAGCCACAAAUAAUGCUCAGAACAGCACCUAACUUCAUCAACAGUACAUCUAGUGUCCUAGCCACUGUACUAGCCACCAAACAUCUUUUUAACUUUGACUCAUUUUUUUAGCAAAGAGGCUAAACACAACUCACCUACUCUCUUCCAGCAGCCGCUUGUUUGUAGCGAGACUGAGGGCCAGUCCAUUACAGACUACAGCGGGGUGACGCAGCUCAAGGAAGAACAUUUAUGAUCAUUUUUUUGUCAUUUCCUUGAAGUAAUAAUCACCAUAUUAAUCAUUUUGUACUGCAGACACGAUAGUUCUUCUGUCUUAGCGUCUCGGUCUGAUUGCAUUUCCAUGAAGAAAUACAAUCAAACCGAGAGUGUGACUGAGGUGUUCACAAAAACACCUCAGUCACAGCACAGUGAUACCAAUUAACUGAAGUUUUAACAAGACUAUUUACCAGAAAGUAUAUCCUGCAAUCGACCUUGACUCCGUACAGAACUGCAUGGCCAUGACUUCAAGCCAAAAUCUUCCCUCUCUCCUAUAUAGAUUUAAAGUUUUUUCUUGCAGAGAUUCUUCUUUUGCAUCAAUUUAUAUUUGUCAUACAAAGCUAAACUAAACUUUAUACCACUGUGGUUUUUUUCGUGUGUGUGUUCACAUAUAAAACUUAAAUACCCCAAACUGUCAACACGUCCAUCCACAGUUUAACUCAGAAACUUAAACGGAGAGCGAAGCCACUAGCCUCCUCAGCCGCCGAUGCCUUCCACCUCCAGAUUGACUUUCGGGUCAGACGCAGACAAAAACUUUUAUACAACAGAAAAUAAUAUAGACUUUUGCUCCAUAGGGACUGACCGAUCCAUUCAUGGCUUCAUGGAUUGGUAGAAGCAUUUUCAGACUGCUGAUGUUCAAGAACUUUCCAUGUCUUUCUAUUUGACUUCUGUACUUUUACUAUUAAUAGUCUGUAAGUAGCCUAGAAACUUUUGCUCAGCUUACUUAAAUAUACUGGUUUUAAAAUUUGAAGCCCUUAAACUUUAGCUUAUUUGACUGAAAUCAAAUUCAUAGACUCUGCCAAGCGUUAAUCAGAGAACAUCCAGUUAUGUAACACGAGACAAAACUGCUGGUACGCAGUUAAGCAAUGAUCAAUAGACUGUCUGUUCGACUGCCCUCCAGUCAUCACUCUGGAAUUUGGCGUUUUGUCUGUUUUCAGUCACAUUAUCAUGGACAGGGCAUAAAAUCCAAGUGAUUGAAACCGGUGUAAAUGCCAAAACACUUUACAGAUAAGUGGUACCAUCUGUCGUAAUAAAUAUUGACAAAUACUAAACACCAUGUAUUAAACAAUCAGCAAUGAUUCACAGGAGACAAAAAGGGUAAAAUUGGGUCAAUAUGGUUACUAUUAUCUGUCAUGAACCAGGGUUUAAACAAAAGGACCUGAAGGAUUUAAGUAAAAAAGAACUUAAUGAAUAAACAACAAAACCUUUCUUUAAAAUGUCUAAAAAAAAAUCCAAAAAGGCAAAAUACAAGAAAAUGCAUUGGAGAAAAAAACCACAUGGAGACUUGGGAUACAAUAACGACUAUGAUAGACACUCACUGACAGACAAACACACAUACAAUGAACCAACAAGAACAGAGGGGAAGACAGAUACUUGUAAACGAGCAACAGGUGAGGCUAACGAGACACAGGUGAAACUCGUUAGUGAUUAACGAAGGAGGGAAAACUAGGGAAGUAAAACCAGACUAGAAACACAAGGAAUCAACUACUACAAAAUAAAACAGGAAAUAAACACUGAAAACUGAUCUAAAGAAUAAAACAAAGAGAACAGGAGGGAAACAGGGUCAAACAUAAACUGAAAACUCACAAGACUGGACUACAAGGGAGCAGGAACACUAGGGAGCAGAAAAACUAGGGAAAAUACACAAAAUGCAUCAGGAGAAAACUAAAUAAACAGAACAUAUUAUGACAAUUAUCCUUUGUUUGUAAUGAAAAUAUUUUAAAAAACAAGGAUGAUUGUCUCAAAACAGCUUGAAUGCAGUUGAUAAUGUUUGACAAGGCACUGAAAAAAUCUGAUAUAAUUUAUUAAACAUCAAGUAGAAUUCAACUAACAAAAUUCUGGGGUAGGUCGAGCCCAAGCAGCAGCCUCCAAAAUAAAAUACUGCAGUUCUUAGAGUGUUAGAAGGGAGGUAGUUGGAGUUAGCAUUUCCAAUAUGGUGACUAUUGCCAAGGUUACAACUCUCUAUUUAACUGCUAUAUAAACGAUAAAAAUGUCCUCUUGUAGUUUAUCAGUUUCCAAAAACAUUUAAUGUAUCAAACAAGAUAAAUAAAUAUAUUUGUGAAAUUUGAAGGACAUUUUGAUUUUUCUGGUUUUCAGUAGUAAGUAAAAUAAACAUUUCAACUCCAAAAAACCCUGAAUUUUCUGGCCGUAAUUUGUGAUGUAGAUUUAUGAAACAGACUAAUAUCAAUGUUGAUUAUCUUUUUAUGAAAUAUGAAAGCAAACAGAAGUAUUUGUGAGAUGAAGGACCAUAUUUAGGCUUUAAUUUUUGACGCCUUUUACUUGUGGUCGGGGGGUAAGUGUCAGCUAAGCAGCUAAAAGUAUUUAUAAAGAUAUAAAACAGACCAGGGAAAGACCACUUCGUCCACAGGGGGGCGCCAAUUUUUACUCAAACCAAAAGUUCCUCACUGGAGCUUUAAAGCCUUUAGUAAUGAGUGGGUAUGAAGCAUUUUGUAGCCUUUCAAAUCCUGCAGUGUCUUUAUUUUCUGCACAACAGCUGAUUUUAUGUUCCAUUGAAAAUAUUUUUUUGUUUUAAUGUCCAAUUUUUCAGCAGGUUAACAGUCACUGAGCCCUGAAACAUUUGUUGGCACACUUACUGUCCAUCUUUUAAAGGGCACGCGUCUUCCUCUGCUGGUGCACGGCGAGUUUUUAUUUUAGCACCCUGAGUCUGUUUUAUAAACGGAGAAGCACCUUUGAAACGGAUCUCUUCAUGUUUGACUUCAUUUAAUAAGGUUUUGCGCUGUUUUCCUGCUCCUGCUGCUUCUAUUGUUCGGCCUUUUUCUCCCCCCGCUAUUAUUAUUUGUGUGGGCGAGAGCGUCUGCUGUCGCUGUCAGUCAUUAACAGAAGCUACAAUGGGGCCUGACAGAUGAAAGAAGCAAAUUAAUUCAAGACUGAUAUUAGAAUUUCAAGUGUUACCGUGUUGGCAUGAGCGGGCCGCAUUCUUGGAAUAUGCUGAUUGCAUUGGAAAUGCGGCCAGAGCUGGAAGACGAACAAAUCAACACAAAUGAAGAAGAAAGUUGUUUUUUCAACCUUUUUACCAAACAUAAAUAGCUUCAGCGUGUUCGUCAAAGCUUUGAGAAGUGAAAUAUGUGCUAUCAGGAUGGAUCAUUUUUCAGAUAUUUCAAAUGUUUCCUGGCAGUCAAGAGUUUUUUGACGGUUUUUCUUUAAAAGGAUAUACUUGAAAAAGGUUUUACACCUACUUAUAAAUACAAAACAUGCUCUGCUUGUUUCUGUUUUACGUUAAAACUGCUCACCUUAAAUAAAUCCCUAUAAGUUUGGCUCUGGAAAAAGAGGGAAAAACAAGCUUAAAAAAGUCCUCAAACAUGUUAAUUUAUUAAGUCAGUUUCCUCAAACUGCCCUGAGACUCAAUUAUAACUGCCCACCUCCAGUUUCUCUUUUCCCCUUCCAGUAUAUGUUCCCAGUCCAGCGAUGGCGUUGAUAUGGGAGGGAGGCCAUAGCUUUGUUCAGUCCCACAGGGAGAGUGUGAGGUCUGCACAGGCUGAAGCCGCCUUCUCUUUCACAAGUUUUUUUUCCUCGUUGAAGGCGAUGAGGCGGAAAGUGGAGGCUGUGGAGCUCAGUGUUUUUUUUAUAUAAAGCUGGAUAGUUUUGCAAAGACUCCCAUAAAUGAGAUUUAACUGGACUGUAAUUCAAUUUAUACAUCCAGACGAUUCUUUCACAUGUUCUAGGACAGAACACAAAGAUGAAGUGAAUAACUACAGUGUUUCUCAGAGAUGAAACAGUAAAACUCGGAGCUGAGAUCUCAUCAGAAUGUAAAGCCUUGUUCUGAUUCCCGGCGAAUGAGUUUGAAAAUGAUUGUUGAAUUAUCACAGAGGGCUUUUCUCUGCUAGAUAACAAAAGUAUAGAGUAGAGCUACUUUGAACCACUUUGGUUUCACUUUGACAUGUUUUCCCGUCGAAUUUUAAUCGAGAGGCUUUAUUUGUAAUGAAAUUGUGUCUUGUUCGCUGAAUGUGUGUGGAAAAAAAAACAGCUUAUUGGCACAUUGGAAUGCAGGAAAUUAGAGUUUUCUAUCUUUUUUUCUCACCUAUCACUGAAGUUUUCAACUCAAAGUUUAAUGUUUGGGCCACAGACAGACAGUGAAAAGAUGGACGUCAUAACAGCUCCUCUUAAAGUGAGGCCGAACAAAGGUCAUAAGUGCGUUUCCAUGUAAACAGAUGGGACAUAAAUCAAACAGGUGCUUUAUUGAUAGUGCAAAAUGAACACAGAUGCUGUUGUAUUUAGUAAGAAGAGAUUGUGGUUGUGCAAAAAAAAUAUAUUGUGCAUUAUAGGAGCUUCUUGUCCUCAAGGGCCACCGUAGCGUCACCAAUGAUAGGGGUGAACAAAACAGUGUUUUCAUCGAAGGUCUACAAAUCUUACCUUUAAACGCAGCAACUGGUUUAAGGUCAGUAAACACUGACAGCAGUUUUUGUGAAUCAUAGAUCCAUUAGACAAAAGACGAAUGUUUUCUCAGAAGCACCCCUCAUCAAAACAUGAUCAUUUUCGGGUCCAAAAACCCCCAAUGCAAAAUCAUUAAAGCUCCAGUGAGGAGUUUUUUCACAUACAUGAAAUUCACUAAAACUCCUACUGAUGCUUUUUCAUGGUAGACAUAAGCAAACAAGAUCAUCUGCAACAAGAUUGAAGUUUUUAUAUCGUCAUCUUUAAUGCUUUAAACCGGUGUGAGGGGGGAGGUGUCAACCAGGCAGCUGGAGAAACAAUCCUGUUUUUACAAAACUCCACUGAAAAACUCACAAUAAAUAAGAAAAGCAUUUGACUGUAAAGAGUCAGUGGGGUUACUUUAAAUCUACAAAGGUCGUCUCAACAUGCUCAAGUUGUUUGUGAUCCAUCUUAUCAAGUAGAAGCCAGGUUUCGGUUUCGGUUUUGGUUUAGCCAAGGUUAGGCCCCUCCUCAGCAGGAAGGAUCUUGAAAUGGCCAUCCAUGCUUUUAUCAGUGCCAGGUUAGAUUAUCGUAAUUCCCAACACCCCCCAUCACAGUCACAUCACUCCUGUUCUUCUCUCCCUACAUUAGCUCCCAGUUAAAUUCAGGAUCAUUUGUAAACUUUUAAUAUCCGUGGUCUUUAAAACACAUCUUAAAUCUCACCUACUUAAACAGGAUUUUAAUAUCUAGUUUCAUUUGCCAUUUGAUCGUUCAUGUGUUCUCUUACCUUUUUACUGUUACGAUAGCCUGACAUUUGUCACUUGUCAUGUAUUUUCUUUUCCUGUAUUUGUGUAUUUGACUAUAAGGCACUUUGUUCAUCUUUCUGGAUGUUGCAAGGUGCUGUAUAAAUAAACGGUAUGAUUAUUUUUAUUAUCUUUAUUAUUUAGAUCCAUCUUCUCUCCAAGGAAACCAAUUUAUGUGUCGACGCUGUAGAGGCUGUUUUAGGUAACAAGAACCUGCUCGGGUAAGUUUUUCACCUUUACUGUGUCCUUAAAACGAGCCUUUUUAACAGAUCUGUAUGCACACAAGCUGAACACUUCCAAUCUUUACAUGAAGCUUGGCUAAUCAUCCCUGUGCUUUGGCUCAUAUCCAGAGUUCAAACACGAGAUUCAUAUUGGUUUUCUUCCAACUCUGUAAAGAAAGUGAAGAGAUAUUUUUCCCCCUAAACGUCGAACUAUUUUUUAAGCUUUAUAGAGCAUUACUGCCCACACAUCAGCCCCUAACUCCAUAUAGUCCUUCAUAAAAAAUGAUUAUGGAUGACAGGCAGCCCGAGCAGACAACCAUCAGGUAAAAAUUAUCGCAGAAGCCAUCUCGGUUUGUUUGUGUCUGCAAAAUCGAAAGCUCUGCAAUUUAGUUUAUGGUGGGCAUUAGAUUAUCUAUUCUUUCAUAAAGCCAUUAAAAGAGAGUGAAAAAUGUAAGACAUAUAAAAACACUGCGGCUUCUGCAGUGACUCAAAUCUGCAUUCAGUCUCAAUAAUGAAAUUUGAAAGAAAGCCCUUGAGAGAUUAGGGAUUCCCCUUUGCCAACAGAUGUUUGCGAAAUGAAAGAGUUUGAAAGAGAAGAGGAGGAGGGGGUGGCGAAGCAGGGCAAGAAAGCAGCCAAAGUGUAAUCUUGAGAUGGAGGGAAAACGUUUGGAUUCUCUCUCUCUCUCUUGCAUUAGCACGGCGGGGGUAUGAGGACAAUGGAUGAGGCUGAUUUCUACAUUGUAAAUGUGCAAUCCCCCCCCCCCCCGGCAGAGGAGUGCUGCAUCAGGAUCAAGACUUAAACAAUGUCGCCUUGCCUUUAUCUCGCCGCCACACUCUCCGGCGGACCUGCUGGAAUUGACUCGCAGUCUGUUAUUCCCAAAAGCCCGACUCACAAACAGCUCCCCUUUUCAUUCAAGUGCAACUUCAUUACAGCUUGAAAUAUGCUCGCAUCCGAGUAUACAUCGCUAUCAUAAUCCUCGGCUUGUGUGACACUUGCGUCAUAACGUAGUUUACACAAGGCUGACAUUUAAUCUUAGCGGGAUUUCUCUCCGUGGCGAUAAAAAGUUAACAGUACGAUAACCCCGUAUAGCCAACCUUGACCUUCAGCUAUGAUAAAACAUCAAACAACACGGGAAUCUGAGAGAGGAAUUGCUUCAAGACGGGGCGAUACGAUCUUCAAGCCGUCCUCUGUACAAAUUCAACUAAAAGAGCACUUGUUAAAGACCUGCACUUUAUUGGACCUGAGCUGUCACAUCUGAUAAAGCUCACUGUAACUGAGUGGGCGACCCGAGCGCAGUGGGGGGAGCGGGAGAUUGGUCGGUGCCAAACUUGUGUGACACUGAAACGCACCUUUCACUCAUCUCUCUCCAGACGAUCAUUUCAAGCUGGAAAAAGAAGGAAAAAAAAAAAGAGAGAGGCCUCAAAGGCGGCGGCGGCGGCGGCGGACCCUUCCUUUAAACAAUAUAGCCGUUAAAAAAAAAAAACCCACUCCAAAUGACAGACCUUGCUGCAAUCUGGGUGCAACAUUUUGCCGCAACACCUUGGACUUUAAUGAUGGCAAUGAAAGCACAAAUGAGCAAGUGAAGACUUCCAGUGCAGAAUCAGGAAUGAACACAUUAGCCUGUGCUGACAGAUGAGUCUUAAUUGUUACCUCUGGCGAAUGGGACUUCACAUAAGAGAACAAAAGCUCUCCUCCCAGCGCCCUGUUUGAUGCAAUGUGACGAUGACCUUGCUGCAAUGCACCCUCCGCAAGAUCCUUAAGAGUUUAUCUUGACAGACUCCCAAAGACUGUCUCUCAGGUGUCGCACUGAUAGACCAAUUCAUUUAACUCUGUCACGAUCCGGGGCUUUAGAGGCGGCUGCUUGAUGAAUCCCUAUUGUUCCUCUGCCUGUCUGGCUGUUUGCACUCCUUGAGGCGAGCUACAUUACUGUUUCAAUAGCCUUUAGACUAUUACCACAUGAAAAAACAGCGCUGUUUUCAGCGAGCGCCGUCCUCUCUGUCCUGCGUGCAACUCCACAGAAGGAAUAAUAAUACACACUCCUGAAUAAAUGAAGCAUGGUGUGGGUUUAAUCACCAGUGUUUAUUAAUUACAUGGCCGUUAAAUGUUAAUUUGCGCCAUCAGUAGAUCAAACAAAAAACCUUUAAGUGUGUUUUUAUCAUUUUAUCUUUUCAGCACAUGGUAUUAAAUUUAACGCACUGCCGUUUAAAACCAAUCUCCACUCACAUGUCAGUCUUUUCACCCCUGGACAUUGUAAUAAAAUGAGCUGUGAGGCCUAUUUUCUGUAUAAUUGGAGAGAAAUCAUUCAAUAUUUUUUUGUCUGCCGUUCAAAGAAUCCUCUUAGAAAGCGUCUAAUUCAGUAAGAAAGGAGUCCUAACCAGGGCGAGAUUUAGCGAGACUCUUAACAAGGAAGGUUGGAGGACAGAAUCGAUCCAUCUCUAUUUAUACAGCGCCAGUUCACAAGUGAUAUCCAAAGACUCUAUUUACAAAGACCCAGUGCAAAAAUAGGAUAAUAUCAAACCCAGUCCAUCUUCAGCCUCAUGAGUAUCGCACUCUUCAGCAUUAAGAGGUGAAGAGAAAAAAAACUUCCUUAAACAGGUAGAAACCUUGAGCAGAACCAGAUUCAUUCAGUCAUUUGCAUUAGGUUCAGAUACAGGGAGAUGUUAUGUAGAUCUUUUCCCAACUUCUGAUGAGGUUGUUUUAUGUCUUAUAUGGUCAAACUAUGCUUUUAUUUUGAAAUAUACCACCCAUGAUAGAUUGUAAAUCACAUAAAUGAAGAAAAGGUGAAAUGAACGGUCAGAGAGUACCAAUGUUCAACAGAUUGGUAACCUGAGAAGGGACGACUUUUAGUGUUUCUUUUCUGGAUGACAACAAAUCUUUGAAAGUCGGUUUUUAAGAGUGUCUAAUUAUGUCUCAAAAAGUUGCUUUAGGUAACUCGCUAGCUGUUGGCUACUUUCUCUUGGCGACAUGGGACCCAGUGUCAAUGAACUCUUAUGAAUUCACGGUAUUACCGUGUGGUUAUUUUUUGGCAUAAUAUUUGUGUUUUAAUUUUAGAAAAAAGUUACCGUCAAUAUCGGCAACAGCUCGCUAUGGCACAUGAUUUCAAAGACCGUGAUUGGUUCAUCGACAUCAUGAUUCAAAAAGUUGUCAAAGAAUUUCGUCACUAGAAGUCACUAUUUGGACUUAAAAGCUCUGUCAGUACGAACAUAGGAGGUUAGUCUAGCAAGAAAUCACCACUAUCCUUGUGCUUAUUUAAACUAACCCCAAAUUUCCACCGCAUCUGGAACAGCUACGAAAAGGUUGUGUCUGCCGAUCGUAGCUGAUCGUAACCAUUCAAGUUAAUGUGUCAAUUUCCCCCGGCUUCUUUCCGUUCCGCUGCGGAUCGCCGAACGCCUCAGCUGAUCGCAAGAGUUCUAUUUUUUCCGGACGCUGGAGCAUGCUGAAAAAUUCAGCACAGAGUAACCCGUGCUGGAAAGGAAGUCGGGCACAGACACAAAAUAAAACAUCCAGCUUCUUUUCAAAAUAAAACGCUCCAUGUUUCAGGUGGAUUGUAUUUCACACCAUGCAAACGGGCGGAGACGAACAAGUGAGAGUCCAAUGACACCAUGGACAAGAGGAUGCAGAUUUUAUAGGUCUAGAAGUAGAUUUCCUCCUCUGGAGGGACACAGUCUACUGCUUAUAUGGUUGGCCUAUGUGGCUAUAGUGACAACUUGUUAUUGCACGGUUGCACAUGAAUCCGUGGUUUUUUUUGAGUUCUUGCGUUUCCUGCUGUCAGUAAUCCACCAUGAAAUUCGCCAUACAAACUGAUCCGGUAGUAACUGGCGUAUGUGAAAAUCGCCGCCGUUCCAGAUGUGGUGGAAAUCCCGGGUAACUCACUGCUUGCUCUGGCAUCCACACUGAGCUACAACUUUCAGAUGAUAUUGUUUUUCUUCUCCGUCACUCUAAGAAGAAAUGAAUUAGCCCUUGUCUUGAGUUUUUUCAAUUAUUCCUUGAAAGAAGUCUUUUCUUAUUUUCCUUUCCUCUAUCUCUAUAACCUUACUGUUGUACGGCUUGUGAGGGGAGCGCACAUAAAUAAGGAAUAAAAGGUGAAAGAGACGAGAAAUAACUGUAAAUCUUGUCUUUGGGAGAUGAUUGUAGCAGAAAACAUUUACAGAUAAGAAUGAUUUAAUACCUGUAUUGAAAGGUCAGACAGGAUUACAGAUUUAUUUGUAUUCAGCUCCAACAGAAUAUUACAGUAGUGCCUCUGAUAUAUGCCCUUUAUUUAACUAUGCAAAGAAACUGUUGGGUGAACAAUCGUGUGGAUUUCUUGUAUUUACUGCUUUGUGUUUCUCUAUUUUUUUUUUUACACAAAAGACUUAUCUGGCUGUCCUUGAAAACAGCUGCAUCUUUAAACAAAGGUUGUUCACUCUGCAACUUCGAGACGGGCCGAACAGAGUUUAGUGAGAUAAACUGAAGACUUGCUAACUUCCAGUCACGAGGGGCGGCACAAUUGGCACCGCAUGUGUGUUUCUUUACUUAAUAGAUAUAAAUAGCUCUUAAAAGGAAGUGUUUGAGUGAGUUUCGUCUUCACACACGAGGCAAAUUUGCAUGUUAGAGGCACCAUAUGGCCGCCAAAGAGGCUUGAAAACUGUAAAAUCUAAUACUCACUGUCAUGAUGAUGGCAGUGCACUUCAGACAGAAUAGCGAGCAAUAAAAAGACACCAGAGGGAUGAAAGAAUAAAAGAUCUAAAGAGCGGUCCAGUCUCCUCUGGUUGAGCCACCCCUUCUCUACAUUUCUCUGAUUUUAUGUUUCAUUUCAAUCAUUAAUUUCAAUCUGAGCCCACAGAAUAGACGAAACGCGUGAGUGCAAAGUCAACUUUCCUCAUUUUGUCACCGCCCUGCCUUGCAAUACAUCAACAAAUCACCACAAGUGGUUGCGUCCGACUGUGCGCACUCAUUUCUAACAGCUGGACGAGCUCAUUGCCAGGCGGGGAGUGUGUGAGUGGUGUGAGUGGUCUUGCCUGGUUCAGGAGCAGGCAUGCGGGUGUUAGAUGAGCCAUUGAUCGUUCCCAGCAGGCUCUUCCACCAGGCGAUUCCUCCGCUCGCACAUCCCCUCCUCUUUGCCAUUGACUUUCUGCCAUGACGUUCCGCUGUCACGGCAGGACCUGACAUUUAAUGAUGCUCUGAUGGAGUAACGUCACAUUUAUCACUCGCUGGCAGAUGUGACGGGGCAGAAUCUGAGGGGCGAGCGUGGGCCAGAGCUAAAAAAACAAACAAUAUAAGGCAGGAAGAGGGGCUGCAGUUUGACUGACAGGAGAAGUAAUUCAAGGUAAAGUCUCCAAAAUGACUGUGCAGAUAUGAUGUCUCCUGAAGCCACCUGAAUAGCGGGGAUUUUGACAGGAGAGGCAGGUAUUGUAUUUUGAAGGUAAUAUAAAAAACUCCGUCAGUUUAAACUAAGUCUACAGAGAAUAAUGACUCUCUCUCUUUUGUGAUUUUUCUUUUUUUUAAUUGUUCGACAGAUUCAGCAUCAAUAGACUAAUCACAAAAACAUCUGAGUUUGCAUAAGCCAGGGGCGUGUCCAAAGGGAUGGUCCGAGGUGGCACGCCCCCUCAAAAGGUGUGGCCACCACAGAUGCAACCUCAAAUCUUCAUCAGUUGUUUUCUUUGUCAUUUUUAAUCAUAGAUUGCACGGUGCUGCCUCUGUUAUGGUUUUCUCACAGUUUCUGUUAUUACAGUUUGUUCCCAUCAUGCUUUUUCAUGCCAAAUGACUCAUUUUUCCCAAAAUUUUUGCUUUAGUUAGCCACUAAAUUUAAAAAAUAAGGGGAUUUGACAUCUUUAUUGUCAGCUUCAUUAACAAACCCAAGCCCCUGCAGUGUUUUGUACCAGUUUAGCAGAAUAAAGGAGGGACAGUAGGAAAAUGAAACAAACACUAAAACAAAAGUCAAGUUUCUGCAGCUUUUCCCGUCUGCUAUCAAUCAAGUAGAUUGACCCGAUUGAUCUUUGACAUUUAAAUAAUGUUGGGUUCAUGUUUUUUUCUUUAUUUAGCAUCCUAAGAGUGACAACAGUUGUGAAAAGCAUACCACAGGGUGACCAUACGUCCCUUUUUACCCUGACAUGUCCUCUUUUUUGGGGGCUGUUCGGACUGUCUGGGUUGCGAAUUUUUUUUUGUAGAAUGGUAGGGGAAGAUCCCGCCCUCCUUCGCCCCUGAUUGGCUAGAAGUGCUGUUCUCCAAUUGGUUAUUCCGGGAAGUUAAUAAAAUCCUUCAAAUGUCCGUGAUUUUGUACUUAAGUUUCGAGUUUGUGUCACGCCGACUUACUGAGUUAGGGGUGCGUAAAAGACACUUGAUCCGACUCGUUUGACUCUGUGACUCCGCCCCACGUCCUCUUUAUGGGAAGUCAGAAUAUGGUCGCCCUAGCUUACCAUCCAGGUGCAUGUCAUGGCUGAACUAGUCCAACAUGCUAACGUUUAUGAGGCAGAGUUUUAGUGUUUCAUCUUACAGUGAGUGAAAAUGAAGUGAUAUUGUCCAGUCUAUAUAGCCAAUGAUUGAAAAAUGCUACGAGUAGUUUUCUUUGUGUUUAAAUGUGGUACAGUUUGUGUUUUUGGUGUUUUAAACUGUGGAAAAAUAAAUCAGCCUGUUUAACUUCAAGCAAAUUUCUGUCCAACUACUAAAAAGAGGAAUAAAGAGGUGCAACUAUAUAAACAAAGAAGAUAUGAUAAGGAGAGAUGGAAAAGUUGUAUAAAUACUAUUCAUUUGUGCGUUUGACUGUGUUGCCAACCUAGUGACUUUGUCCCUAGAUUUAGUGACUUUUCAGACCAACCUAGCGUCUUAUUUUCAAAAAAGCACCUAACGACAAAUCUAGCGACUUUUUCUAGAGUUUAGAGACUCCAACAUGAACGCAGGUAUCGAUGUUACCCUUCUCAACGGGUAAACUAUGCAAAGUAGGCGUUCACGUCAUCUAGUGACCUCUAGCGACUUUUACGACAGCCAGUAACGAUUUUCCUUACUAAGGAGUUGGCAACACUGUUACCUGUUACUAGACUUCACAUAUCCUUUAGCUUGUACAGCUAAAUCUAAAUAUAUAUCGAGUUGAAUUUCUCCUUAUCUUAUCUUGAAUUCCUGUAAUUUUUGGCUUUUUACUUCGUACUGUACUUUCCUGAACACUUGUUUUCCAAGUUUUCUAGAAUUGCAUUUUUCCAAACUGUAAAAAUUCAAGGAUCCUCUCACACGACUGUGAAGAAAGGUUGCCCGUGACAGCAGCAUUUACAUAAAAUGAUAGCUCGACUUUGGCGGCAUCAGCGACUGAGGGAGGUCAGUCUUAGGUGAUGGUCAAUUGCAUUUAUAGGUCAAGUGCUUUGAAAUGCAAAGACCUCUUGGUAUUUCAGAACCAAGUAUGAAAACACUUCAUGUCUGGCCUCUCACCUGGAUGGCUUAUGUGUGGGAAACUAAAGGAGACGGUGUUCAAUAAUAGAUUUGACCAGCUCUUUUUAGGAAGAUUUCUGAGCGUCUGUUCAAGAAGGAUGAGCAAAUAUUCAGAGAUUUCGUGAUUCGGUGAAAGACAGGAGUAUCCAAGAGAGACUUACUGAUUGUGUUCUCAAGAUGAGCGUUAGGGAAUGUCCAAAAUUUUGCCCAAGUCCUUGGCCCGCCGUAUUCUGAAUAUCAUAAUGAAAGCCUUGUAUUUUUAAGUGAUUCACAUACUAUUUGGUGAGUGCAAACACAUCCCGAGUGCGUGUUUGCCUGGAGCGAAUGGUCGUACUUGUUUCUGAAGGGGAAAAAUCUGCACAGUAAGGUAAAAUAGUGACUCCAGGUUGAAUAAUUAUGCGUUCUUCCGUGUGGAAUAUUGUCCAAGGGAGGAAAAAAAUAAGCUGUCGAACAAAUUUGGACCAGAAAAAAAAAAAAAAGAAAAAAGUCGGAGAAGAAUUAAAAGAAAAACAAAGUGGAAGGACACUGAAAGAGAUGUGUUAAUUUCCAAAAGGCUCGAGGAAGAGUUAAUUAAGCCAGCUGCAGGAGUGGGAGAAAGUGCUGAGUCCUGGAGACACAAAAUAUUUAUUCAUCAGCCCAUUAAAGUUUAAUUCCCUCUUUUUUUUCCCUAUUUUUAAAAUGGAGGGAGAAUGGAGAAAGCUUUGAACAUUUGACCUUAUAUGUAAAAGUGUAGGGUGAGUCUGAGGAGCCUUAGGGAUUGUUUUAAUCAUUAAGAACCAGCAGCAAGAGCAAAAAAAGAACUUGUUCACUGCUCUAUUGGAGCGCGCGAACAUAUUAUCUAAAUCAUUUUAUUGCAGCAUUUGAGUAUUCUCUUCUGUAUUUCUGUAAAGUUAUCUCACUUAGAUAUUAGAAACACGACCACUUUGUUAAACGAUCACCAUGAGUGUUUACAUGCAGACCAAUAAACCCAUCCUUCUCCGAUUUCUGGAGUUACCCUAAAUAAUUCUGUAAACAGCAUUAUAGGGCCAAUUUCCCCAUCUAUGCCAGUAAUAUGGUCUUGAAGUUUUAACACGCUAGCACCUGUGACGUGGGCUGCCUUGUACUCACUGUUUUGUAGUUGUUGGAUGAUGCUUCUUGAUGGUGAAUGCAAGCGGUGGGAUUUGUUGUGAUUGUCAAACAAAACAGGCUCCAGACAACUUCAACAAAAAGGAUUCAAAACAAACACGCGCCGAAUAAGGGUUCAAAUAAAGCUCAAAAUAAUUCUGUACAGUCUUUCUUUCGUUCGUUCAAAAAUACGCGCUGUGUAUGUGUAGGUGCGGUGCGUCGCAAUUGAGAAUCUGUUUCUGUACUACUGGCGUCGAGCCACGCACAGCUGAUGCUUGAUUAAUAGAAAAUCAUGGUGCCAUUUCUCAGGCGGCCAAAGGGGGUGACAUUUCACCAAAAUGGCUCCAACAAGAAUAAUUAAAUAUUCUUUGUUGGACUUUGUUGGAUGAUCGUGCCAAGUAGGAGCGGAAAACAAAGUAGGAAGAAACUGCAAACAUGACGAGAAGAAACAACGACAAAGUGUCUAAAAGCUCAACAAAAUGACAAAUAUGAAUUUUCCAAAGUCUCCAGAGCUUGAUAUGUCCUGUUUUUUUUUUAUUCAACUUUUCACAUGAUGAUUGAUUUGAAUAACAAUCCAAAUAUUCACUUCUGUUAGAUUUAGCUUUUUUAGCAUCACUGUGCUACUAUUUUACUUGGCCAGAAUUGAGCGGAUUAUACGCUCAAAUUUCGCGAAUUCAAGACACGUUCAGCCCGCUACUUACUUCAUACACUUAAUUUGCUUAUUCCCGAGAGUAAUUUGCGCCAUAAUAUCCAAUCAGCAUUGAGAUUCCCUGAUGGCAAAUGUCAAUGAAGGACAGAUCGAGGUUCAUUCAUCUGGAAAAUGAAUGACAAACUGAUGGUGACAGUACACCGUGAACCCUUAACGAAAGGAUGCGACUCGCUUUAAGUGUAGAAACGGAAAUAAAAAGGAGUUAGCUUGAAGGAAGAAAGAUUAUUGGGUAAAUUGUGCAAAUACAACAAAUCUCCGCCAUGUUUGAUGUAAACUGGAAUUGACAUAUUUGGGAACUCUCAGGGAGCGUGGGCAGAGGUAGUCAAUCGCACAAAUCAAGCAAGUUCACGCAAGACAUUCAGAUGUUUAAAAAGGUGCAAAUUAAGAAACGUAUCAAUAUUAUGUGGGACUGGUGUGAACACAACUUAAGAGCCGGCCCCUGUCCUAGAAAGAACUACAAGGGGGCUGAAUUAGCCUCAAUCUCCCAAAGUUCACCUGAGAGAAUCCAAACCUUGUAGGGGGAAUGAAUAUUAUGAAACUUGAGCAGGAUUGUCCAAUCAUUGUAGACCUGAACGAGCCUGAACCGUCGAUCUUUGUGAGUCAAAUCCCGAAUUUCGAUCGCAUCAGGAAUGGCUCCGGUCCGGGGGCGAUUUUUACCAUCUGCCAAUUCCCGCCGGAUCCGUUUGUGAGGCGAAUUUCAUGACGGAUUACGGACAGUGGAAUCGCGAGAACUCACAAGAACCCGCGAAUUCAAGUGCAAUUGCGUGAUAUUGAGUUGACUCUGUAAAGACAACCACAUAACCAUAAAAGCAGUAGAUUGUGUCGUUCCUGAGAAGGAAAUCCACUAUUAGACUUCUAAAAUCAGCAUCUCCUCAUACAUGGUGUCAUCAGGGUAAAAUGCUGUCUAUAAACCUUUCACGUGUUCAUCCCCGCCUGUUUGCAUGGUGUGAAACACGAUCCGCCUGAAACACAGAUGUUUUAUUUUGAAAAGAAGCCGGAUGUUUUAUUUUGUAUCUGUGUUCGACUUCCUUUCCAGCAUGGAUUAAUCUGUGCUGAAUUCAUCUGGCAUGUUCUGCUGUCAGGAAAAAAUAGAACUCUUGCGAUCAGCUGCAGAGUCCGGCGAUCCACCGCGGAACGGAAAGAAGCCGGUGGAAAUCGACACAUUAACUUAAACGGUUACGAUCAGCUACGAUCGGCGGAUACAGCCUUGUCGUUGCGGUUCUGGAUGCAGUGGAAACUAAAAUCUCAUCUGAAUUUUAAAUGGCGAGCACCACCAAAUUGAAAAAAAACGAACUACAAAAUCACGUAAACUGUUUUUAUUUCUGAUGCAAACCUGUGAAAUUAGACUAUUCUCAUUACCGGAUCAUACUCACAAUUGGAUUAAUGUUGCCACGUAAACUCGCUUAAUUAAGGAUUAAGAUUCGUAGAUGACACAAUACUAACAAAUUAAAGCCCCAAGCAAGACUUUUGUACGAAUUCUGCCACAAAUAUCGGUUGUGUCAUUUGCGACUCUUCACUGUACCGCCGGAUGUGUCUAAUGAAAAAGAGGGACUGAAAACAGUCCUGAGCUUGAAUUGUCUGCUGCCUAAUUAUAUGGCAACAAACGAGUUGCCAAUCAUGAGAAUAUAUUGUCUGGUUUUAUCUCAGGAACUCAUCAAGUCAACCCAAUUAAAAGCUGCAAUGAGAAAGACAUCGGCAGUGAACAGGGCUUUCAUUCAGUUAAUUCAUGAUUGCCAAUUAAAAUAGAAUAGCGUGCAAAGUUGUAAAGCUGUCAGGAGGGCCAAGCUAAAUUACCCUUUUCCACUUUGAAUGAUGGAUGCGUUCAUUGCUCUCCCUUAUCUUAUUUAUUCUCUGGGCAGGAGAGGAGGGGGACAAAGGCUGGAACAGUUUAAAGAGUGCGACUAAUGAAGAUGGGUCCUCCUUUUUGGAAAACCGAAAUCUGCGAGUGGAAGAUUGUUUUUUUCCGUUUUCAAGGAAUAAAGGUAAUUAAUUCAUGUACAGUAUCCGGGAUCCAUGCUGGAGACCCAAUUUUCUCUCACAAUGACCCAUAAAAGAAACCCAAAGACUGGAGAUUACAUUGAAGCCAGUAUUGAUAUUAAUAUUCUUCUGCUAUGGGUGUUUUAAUUUGGGAAUUUUACCAAUAGAGGAAGUAUUAGCUCGACAGAAGAGCACACAUUAAUUUUUUAGUCUGUAUAAAUUGUCUUUCUGUGUCAACACUGUGCUUUAGAUGCCAUUUAAAUGUGUCCACAACACUUAAAGUGAAAGCAACUCAUCCUGUGUGGUGUCUUCUGCACCAUUAGCCACUGUUGCCACACUAUUGAUGGCCUAAUUAAAAUGUGUCAGGCUGAAAUGUGUCACAUUUUUUAGAGGCUGAAAUUGAUAGCUCACAUUAAUUUUCACUUUCUCAAAAUGACCUUUAAUUUCGCUCGCCAAAUGCAGGCUUGUGUCUACACCGGCACACCCUCCCGUUCCCGCUCCUGAAACAAUAUGUCAAACGGCUUUGACAACACGGAGAAGAGGCCCCGCCGUUCCUCAGAACAAAGUGUCGGAAAGCUCAAAUUGAAAGCGCUCUCUCUCGGAUUCAGAAUAUCCUCGAGAAGCUGAUACGCCCGCACCUUCCUCUGGAGUAAUGGCUUCCUACAGUUUUUCUGAUAAUAAGUCAUCACUGAUAGAGAUAACCCUCCCUUUUGCAAUUUGCUCACUGUUGCUCUUUUCCUUGUAGCCCAGCUUUUAUAUUCCUCCCAUGGGACUCCUCUUGUGAAAGCAAAACAACCCCCCAGGUCCUGAAAUGUCGCUGCGGCGAGGUUUUCCUUGACGCAGCCGGGGAGAAAGUGAUAGUUUCCAUUUGGUCUGUAGUAUCCAAGAGUUUGUUUUCAUCCUCAGGAGACGUGCUCCGCGGGUCAGGCUCUUUGCGACAGAU